rnacentral:lncRNA from 1 species
UUUCUGAAAAGUCAAACGAAUUUCGAAAAAUCUGAACAUAUUUUGGAUAUUGAAAAUAGUUCAUCCAAUUUAAAAAAGUUCACUGGUUUUCAAAAAAAGUUCAUUGAAUUUGAAAAAAAAUUAAUCGAUUUUUGAAAAAGUUCAUGGAAUUUGGUGAGAAAAGUUCGUCGAUUUUGCAAAAGAAGGAAAAAACUAAAAAAAUCGUUCAUAGGAAAAAAAGAAACAAUAUAGAAACAAAAGGAUGAAAAGGCUCUGAGAAAACACGAAUACUAAGGUGGCGGACUGGCUAUGGCAGAACGCUUGUACUCUGGAGGACUCCAGUUCGAAUUUUGCCCCACGCAAGCAGUUUUUUGCAUUUUAGAAACAGCAAAAAAGAAGAAAGAAUGGGCCGGCCCAGUGCGGCGGGAGGGUGUGCGCCCGAAUGCAUAAAUAACUAAAACGGGCGCUUAAGGCGCCGUUUAGGAAUUGCCCUACGCCCCCCCCCCUCUGGUCCGAAUUGGACAAGGGGCAGCCCCCUUUUUCUUCUCCCUGUCCUCCUCUUUCCUUCUCUCCUACUCCAACAAGGAAAGGAGGAGUCCUACUCCCGGUGGGAGUAGGACUCCCCCCUUGGCGCGCCUCCUCCCUAGGCCGGCCUCCUCCCCCCUUGAUCAUUUAUAUACGGGGGCAGGGGGCACCCCAUAGACACAACAACAAUUAAUCCCUUGGAUCUCUUAGCCGUGUAUGGUGCCCCCCUCCACCAUAAUCCACCUCGAUAAUAUCGUAGCGGUGCUUAGGCGAAGCCCUGCAACGGUAGAACAUCAAGAUCGUCACCAUGCCAUUGUGCUGAUAGAACUCUCCUUCGACACUCGGCUGGAUCAGAGUUCAAGGGACGUCAUCAAGCUGAACAUGUGCUAGAACUCGGAGGUGCCGUAGUUUCGGUGCUUGAUCGGUCGGGCCGUGAAGACGUACGACUACAUCAACCGCGUUGUUCUAAUGCUUUUGCUUUCGGUCUACGAGGGUAUGUAGACAACACUCUCCCCUCUCAGUGCUAUGCAUCACCAUGAUCUUGCAUGUGCAUAGGAUUUUUUUUGAAAUUACUACGUUCCCCAACACAAUGUCGGUGUCAAAACUGGCGGAUCUCGGGUAGGGGGUCCCGAACUGUGCGUCUAGGUGGAUGGUAACAGGAGACAAGGGACACGAUGUUUUUACCCAGGUUCGGGCCCUCUCGAUGGAGGUAAAACCCUACUCCUGCUUGAUUAAUAUUGAUGAUAUGGGUAGUACAAGAGUUGAUCUACCACGAGAUCAGAGAGGCUAAACCCUAGAAGCUAGCCUAUGGUAUGAUUGUUGUUCGUCCUACGGACUAAAAACCCUCCGGUUUAUAUAGACACCGGAGAGGGCUAGGGUUACACAGAGUCGGUUACAUUGGGAGGAGAUCUACAUAUCGUAUCGCCAAGCUUGCCUUCCACGCCAAGGAAAGUCCUGUCCGGACACGGGACGAAGUCUUCAAUCUUGUAUCUUCAUAGUCCGGGAGUCCGGCCAAAGGUCAUAGUCCGGCCAUCCGGACACCCCCUAAUCCAGGACUCCCUCAGACAUCAUAGAUCGCACCAUAUCCAAUAAAGUGCGGUUAUGACGUUCAGACACACCAUUACGCUGUGGUGUUCCAGGUGGUGUGAGCUGUGAAACUAUUCCACAUUGUUUUAAAUGAAGGCCAAACUCGUAACUCAAAUAUUAUCCUCCACGAUCAGAUCGUAGAAACUUUAUUUUCUUAUUAUGAUGAUUCUCCACUUUACUCUGAAAUUCUUUGAACUUUUAAAAUGUUCCAGAUUUGUGUUUCAUUAAGUAGAUAUACCCAUAUCUGCUCAAAUCAUCUGUGAAUGUCAGAAAAUAACGACCCCCGCCACGAGCAUCAACACUCCUUGGACCGCAUACAUCGGUAUGUAUUAUUUUCAAUAGGUCACUAGCUUGUUCCAUUGUUCCAGAGAACGGAGUUUUAGUCAUCUUACCCAUAAGGGACAGUUCGCAAGUAUCAAAUGAUUCAUAAUCAAGUGAUUCCAAAAGUCCAUCUUUAUGGAGUUUGUUCAUGUGCUUUACACCGAUAUGACCCAAACGAUAGUGCCGCAAAUAAGUUGCACUAUCAUUAUCAACUUUGCAUCUUUUGGCAUCAAUAUUAUGAAUAUGUAUCUCAUCACGAUCAAGAUUCAACAGAAAUAGACCACUCUUCAAGGGUGCAUAACCAUAAAAGAUAUUACUUAUAUAAAUAGAACAACCAUUAUUCUCUGAUGUAAAUGAAUAACCAUCUCGCACUAAACAAGAUCCAGAUAUAAUGUUCAUGCUCAAUGCUGGCACAAAAUAACAAUUAUUCAGGUCUAAAACUAAUCCCGAAGGUAGAUGUAGAGGUAGCGUGCCGAUGAUGAUCACAUCGACCUUGGAACCAUUUCCGACGUGCAUCAUCACCUCGUCCUUAUCCAAUCUUCGUUUAAUCCGUAGGCCCUGCUUCGAGUUACAAAUAUGAGCAACCAAACUAGUAUCAAAUACCCAGGCACUAGUACGAGAAUUAGUAAGGUACACAUCAAUAACAUGUAUAUCAAAUAUACCUUUGCUCACUUUGCCAUCCUUCUUAUCUGCAAAAUACUUGGGGCAGUUCCGCUUCCAGUGACCAGUCCCUUUGCAGAAGAAGCAGUCAGUUUCAGGCUUGGGUCCAUUUUUAGGUUUCUUCUCGGGAGUGACAACUUGCUUGUCAUUCUUCUUGAAGUUCCCCUUCUUUUGACCCUUGCCCUUCUUCUUGAAACUAGUGGUUUUGUUAACCAUCAACACUUGAUGCUCCUUCUUGAUUUCUACCUCCACGGUAUGUAGCAUCGCAAAGAGCUCGAGAAUAGUAUUUUCCAUCCCUUGCAUAUUGUAGUUCAUCACGAAGCCUUUGUAGCUUGGUGGCAGUGAUUGAAGAACUCUGUCAAUGAAACAAUCAUCUGGAAGAUUAACUCCUAGCUGAGUCAAGUGAUUAUGGUACCUAGACAUUCUGAGUAUGUGCUCACUAAAAGAACUGUUUUCCUCCAUCUUGCAGCUAUAGAACUUGUUGGAGACUUCAUAUCUCUCAACUUGGGCAUUUGCUUGAAAUAUUAACUUCAACUCCUGGAAUAUCUCAUAUGGUCCAUGUCGUUAAAAACGUCUUUGAAGUCCCAAUUCUAAGUCGAAAAGCAUGGCACAAUGAACUAACGAGUAGUCAUCAACACGCGACUGCCAAACAUUCACAAUGUCUGUAGUUGUUGUGGCAGGUGGUACACCUAGUGGUGCAUCAAGGACAUAAUUCUUCUGUGCAGCAAUGAGGAUAAUCCUCAAUUUACGGACCCAGUCCGUGUAGUUGCUACCAUCAUCUUUCAACCUAGCUUUCUCUAGGAAUGCAAUGAAAUUCAAAGGAACGGUAGCACGGGCCAUUGAUCUACAACAUAGAUAUGCAAAAAACUAUCAUGACUAAGUUCAUGAUAAAUUAAGUUCAAUUAAUCAUAUUACUUAAGAACUCCCACUUAGAUAGACAUCCUUCUAGUCAUAUAAAUGGUACGUGAUCCAAAUCAACUAAACCAUGUCCGAUCAUCACGUGAGAUGGAGUAAUCUUCAAUGGUGAACAUCACUAUGUUGAUCAUAUCACUACAAAAAAAAGACACAUCCGUGACAUUUUGGGCCAAACGAAAUUUUUUUCUGUCAUACAUGUGACACUUCUAGGAUGAUAGUUGUGACAAAACCCGGUAUCAUCAUAGAUGUGGUGGGCUCCUACUUCUAUGACAAAAAAUCAUGAAAGAAAAUGGGCUUUUCGUCCUGGACGGGCCGGAGACGCAGCUGCAUGACAUUCUUUGGGCCGUCCAUGAUGGAAAAAACUGUGGUAGAAGCGAGGGCGGGGAAAAUUUAGGGGAGUUCCCAGUUACGGUGGGAGGUCGGGGGCCGAGCGAUGCGCAUUUCUCUCGUACACGUACACGCGUGUGUGCGAGGCGUUGGCUCUAACUAAACCCGAGCGAGGCAUUGAGCUCUAACUGAACCCGACUGAUUGCACUGCAGGCUACGCGUUACUGAACCCGAGCGAUCAAUUGAUGGUUGUUAACUGAACCCGAUCGAUCGAUUCCUUCGCUACUGCUGCUAACUGAAGCCGAUCGAUGUUGCCUCUNNNNNNNNNNNNNNNNNNNNNNNNNNNNNNNNNNNNNNNNNNNNNNNNNNNNNNNNNNNNNNNNNNNNNNNNNNNNNNNNNNNNNNNNNNNNNNNNNNNNNNNNNNNNNNNNNNNNNNNNNNNNNNNNNNNNNNNNNNNNNNNNNNNNNNNNNNNNNNNNNNNNNNNNNNNNNNNNNNNNNNNNNNNNNNNNNNNNNNNNNNNNNNNNNNNNNNNNNNNNNNNNNNNNNNNNNNNNNNNNNNNNNNNNNNNNNNNNNNNNNNNNNNNNNNNNNNNNNNNNNNNNNNNNNNNNNNNNNNNNNNNNNNNNNNNNNNNNNNNNNNNNNNNNNNNNNNNNNNNNNNNNNNNNNNNNNNNNNNNNNNNNNNNNNNUGGAUGAACAGGAGCCCGUGGAGGCUGGAGGAGAUCGACGGUAGCCUAUGGAGGCUGGAGGAGGUCGACGGUGGAGAUGAACAGUAUCCCGUCGAGUCCCGUUUUGCGGUAUGCCACACCCCUCUCGAUGAACAGGACCCCCGUUUCGACCGUAGCGCUCCAACACAAGUCCGUUUCGUCCGUUUUGCAGUACGCCACACCCCUCCUGAUCAACAGGACCCCCGUUUCGACCGUAGGAGGUCUGUUUCGUCCGUUUUGUGGUACGCCACACCCCUCCUGAUCAACAGGACCCCCGUUUCGACCGUAGGAGGUCCGUUUCCUCCAUUUUGCGGUACGCCAGACCCUUCUCGAUGAACAUGAUCCCGUUUCGAACGUGGACGGUCGAACACAAGGCCGUUUCCUCCGUUCUGCGGUACGCCAGGCCUCGUUUCCAUCGCAUGUUCUGUCCAAGCCCUCCCGAUGAACAUGACCACGCAUUUCGUUCCGACCCAGCCGGUUGGCUCCCACACGUUCCGUUGCCUCCCGAUGAACACGAUGCAUUCCGUUGCCUCCCCAUGAACAUGACGACGACGAUGUUUCUCCGUUCCGACCCAGCCAUGUACACGAGCUCUGGUCGUACGUAUGCGCGAGUAGGCAUUCUAGACCCCGCCCGUAUGUACACAUACGUGGCCGUAUUUUCUUUCUUGCACCCUGGUCGCUGUACAUACGUGUACAUGCUACGUGCGCGCCUCUACUAUGACACGUGUGCGCCUCUACUACGACACGUGCGCACCUUUACUAUGACACGUGUGCGCCUCUACAUCUACCAGUAUGUAUGUACACGUUCGUGACCAGAAUGACAACACUAUGUACGCUUCGACCAUGUGGGUCCCGACUGUCAGGCACUUCCUUGGUGCGAAGAUGUAGCUGGUGGGUCCCAGCUGUCAGGGGGGCGAAUCAUUUUGUUUUUUUGCCUGGACGCACUUCCUUGUGUGCGAAGGUGUAGCUGGUGGGUCCUAGCAGUCAGGGGGCGAACCGUUUUGUUUAUUUUUUGCCCGGACGCACUUCCUUGCGUGCGAAGGUGUAGCUGGUGGGUCCCAGCAGUCAGGGGGAAAUGUUUUUUUCGCGAAAUAUGGUGGCCCGUCCGGUGGGUCCCCGCUGUCAGGUGGAGAAAUAAUUAUUUUGCACGUAAUAAGGAGGCACUUCCUUGUGGCUGCCGUGGACCCAGCUGUCAGCCUCGCCACGUACAGUACUCUUCCGAUGGAAGUCGGUCGUUGACCACAUUGACAACGCCACGCCGAGAGCACCACGGCGGUGGACGAUGGCGAGGCCUAGGAAGGGACGACGCGGAGCCGGGGAAGACGCAGCAGUGGAUGCCCACGCGAAGAGGAGUAUGAGGGUUCACUGGUUCGGCUGCGGUGUGAGGCUGCCGUCGCUGCAGAAUAACAGGGGUGUGGGUGAGUAGAGGGAUGGCCUGGCCAGCGGUGGGAGUAGUAGGGGGCGGUGAGGUCUCCGCGGCAUCACAGCCGGCCAUGGGAGGCAGGAGCAUGUGGCACGACCGGCUCUGCUUUGGGCGGCUGGAGCACGAAGACUAGAGGUUCAAGAAGCACUACGGCCGUUGGAUGGACAUUGUACAGUCACUGGAGCUAGAAUCAUUCAUGUUGACUAAGUUGACAAAGCCCUCCGUCCCCGUAAACUUAGUAGGCCCACAAGUCAGCCUCCCACCAAGGUGAGUCCCAGCUAGCAGGGGGAGUAUUCAUUUUUUGUGCGUAAUAAGGAGGCAUUUCCGGUGGGUCCGAGCUGAUAGCGGGGGGAAUGUUUUUUUCAUGAAUUACAGAGGCCCUUCCGGUGGGUCCCAGCUAUGAGGUGGAGGAAUCAUUAUUUUGCGCGUAAUAAGGAGGCAUUUCCCUGUGUGGGCCCCUACUGUCAGCCUCUUCCGAUGGCUGUUGUUUGUUGACCAUGUUGACCUCGCUGCUCCGAGAGCACAAACGUGGUGGACGGGGGCGAGGCCCAGCAAGAGAACCAGCCAAAGCCGGCGAAGCCACUGUAGCGGAUGCCCACGCUGAGGGGAGAACGAGCGCUGACUGGUCGGCUGCAGGGAGGCUGACGUCGCCGGAAAAUAACAGGAUGUGUGGGUGGUUAGAGGGAUGGCCUGGCGGCAGCACAGCCAGCCACGGGAGGAGGGAGCAGGCAGUCCCGCCGGCGCUGGUUUGGGCGGCUGGAGUAGGAAGAUCAGAGAUUGAAGAAGCACAGCGGUUGUUGGAUGGACAUCCAACAGUCACUGUUGUGUGUUGACUAAGUUGACAAAGCCUUGCGUACGCGUCAAAAAAAAUAGGACAACGUCAUCGUGAACCUAGUAGGCCGAGAAGUCAGCCUCCAAACCUGUGGAAAACAGCAUACAGCCCAUUAGCCAUUAUUUUCAAUAAUUUAUAGCCCAUUUGCUAAUUCUUAAGGAUAUUUGAAGCCCAUAUUCUUUUUAUUAGAAUUACAGACCAUAUAUUCUGGGCACUGCUAAAAAAUUCAACGAAAUUUUGCAUAUUUCGGUGGGGUCUGAAUUCUUUUAAUCACGAAAUUUCGAGUCACGUUAAAAAUAAUUUUCAAAAAAUUAUAUCAAAAUAAAAUUCAAAAAACAAUUCUCCGCAAAAAAAUGAAUGAAAUUUAGAAUCUUAACUAGCAAGAUGCCCGUUCGUUGCACGGAACAUGAAGAUGCAUUUGUAUGAGUAGUUUAUCUUGUGGGAGAAAAGAUGAUAUUUUAAUGUAAUUGCCAGUUGGCUUUGGUUUUUAUAAGAGUACAGAGUAGAGAAAUCCUGGAAAAAAAUGAUAUUUCAAUGCAAUUGUCGGUUGGCUUUGGUUUAAAAAUUUAUAGCCCAUUUAUUACAACUUAUAGCCCAUUUUCUGGGGAAGCCUAUUUCUUACUACUUACAUCCCUCCUCGUCUUGAAAGAUUUGCAGCCCAGCAGGGCUGAGAAAAGCAAGUAGGCCUCGGUUUUGGUAUUCUCCAAAAAAAAGAACUGGGCUAGCCAAUUUCAGAAAGAAAAAAUAUAUCAACUGGGCUCGUCAUGUGCUUAUUAAAAGCAUAAGCAUGGGCUAGACGGGCCACAGCCCCCGCACAGCGCAGAGUUGAGCUCUGUCUCUGAAACUGAAAAACAACUGGGCGAGCUGCUGGGUCCCUGGUGUUUUCCGCUCAUUGUGUAAUUUUCUCGUUUAUUGACUACAUUGACAAUGGCGUGGAACCUAGUUGUCAAACAAUUAGGAGGAACUAUUUUUUUGGCUUGUAAUAACGAGGCACCUGCUUGUGAAAUGCAAUGACCCUGGUGGGUCCCUACUGUCAGCCUCUCCACGUACAGUCAUCUUCUGAUUCCACUUGGUUGUUGACCAUGUUGACAAUGCCAGACGGCAGUGGGCACAACGAGCGAACCAAGGCGGAGAAUGACGGCAAGGCCACGGACGGGAAUGCACAGCAGCCAUGGAAGAUGCGGCAGUGUAGUGGCAGGUGGAGGGGAGUACGAGGGCAACGACAUGCAAGUCAAGCAUACAAAUGGUACAAAAAGGCCAAGGAUUAAUUGUUCAUCAAUUUUUUAGACAAAACUCAGAUUGAACAUGACAGUAACAUCUAACCCAACCACUCUUUUUGCAGUCACAAACAAAUGGAUCGGUCUGAUCCAUAAAAUCAACAUCCUGUGCAAAAAAAAAUUAUUUCAGGAUGUCUACAACUUAUUGAAAAUAGAAGCUGAGCACGUUUAGAAGCCCAUUUUUCCACCUGAAAAUUCUUUUUUUUCUGUUCAACAUGUUCGUCCGUGAGAAAUCUCUUGUUGUAAAAAUUAAGCCUCAUGGACAAUAGUAACCUUGCAUUCAACAAGAAGAAUGUGACAAAGCUUCUGUUUGCCUGGUUAGAUGCAUAUCGUCCCAUCGUUAUUGUCCUCAAACGGAUGUCAUGAGAACUGAGAAAAUCCUUGUGCUUAUUACGCCAACGAUUGGUUAUAUGUUUUUCUCCAUGUGGUUCUACCUAAGUAGACAUGAAGAUUGAAAACAGUUAAGGUCUGAAAAAAGAGUAUGUCGAAAGAACGACAGCUGAACAGUUAAUUCUAGUACAAUAUAUAUGGGCUUUCAAUGUGCAUGAAAUCAUCACCUCUAUGUAUAAAUUCUCCAGAGAUCGAAAGCAUCGCAGCAAGCCAAUAAUUAUGUCUAGAUCAAAACUAUACAUUCUGAUAUAUAUGAUCUUGACAGAAUCCAGCAGCAUUGAUAGGCUAUCAAUGGAUGAACUCUUCAUUGAGCAUAUAACAUAAUAUUAGUACCCAAAGUGUACUCCAAGAUGAUAUAAAACUUAUGCGCACAAAUGAAAAAUGCAGCAUAUGAUUACAAAUGUGUAGAUGAUAAUAUACGGUACCUGAAAAAGUGAGGAGCCAAACACCAACUCCUUGUGAUUAUUAAAUGGGUCAUGAAUUACACCCAAGGUCUCCAAUUUGGGCGCAGAGACAAUAGUUAUUUCUGAAGGUGUAUAACAAUUAUGAAGGAGCAACCUUUCAAGUGAAGGGGCAUCUUCGAUGAUGAGCUGCUGUCCUUUAAAACAAAUUCCAAUGCUUUUAAGGUGAGGCGACUUUAUUUGGAGACAAUUCAUACCGAUUUCUAUUCCCAAAACAAUCAGCGAGCGUUCCAGGGCAAGGCAACUAGAGUGGAUGAUGCUGUGUAGUGAGGCCUCCGACAGAUAAACCACCACAACCGAAAGUUUUUUUAGUAGUGGGAGUCAAACCAUUUGUACCAGAUCGUCUGGUAGAUGGCACCGGGCGAAGGUGGCGGUGUGGAGAGAGGACAAAAACCACGAGAUGGACAACGGCGGUGUGGGCAUGAAUUCUUGGUAUGUUUGUGGUAUGAGACUUUUGUGGUAAUGGUAGAACUCAAACUGCUGGAGUUUUCCGAAUUCAGGGGAUGUUAGCCAAGCGUCCACCUUGCCGGGUAUGGACAACAGGUAGCUUGUCGGGAUGCAGAGGCAUUGAACGGGGCCCUGCUGGUGAGAAGAGAUGAUGGCUCUGAGGAGAUCAAAUUCAGGAAGGACAUAUAUCUGACGAUAGUCGAGAUUGAGGGGCGCGGUGCGCCAUAGAGGGCGCCACCAAGUUGAGAGGACUUGUGUGCGGCAGCAAUCCUUGGUGGGGAGAAGCGAGAUGAUCUCCUCAAGGAUGACGCGUGGGAGAUCGCUGAUGCGGUCCACCGGAGAUUCUACCGGUUCCUCAGAUCCGGGUGGGGGGGGUCGCUGCUUCUCACCGCGCUACCGAGUGCGGGAUCUACAACUAGCGUCGCCGCUGGCAGGAGCCUCAUCUUCUUGGCGCUGGGGACAGCCGACUCCAUUUUCCUUGUGGGCGUCACGCCGAGCUCACAGGUUUGACCAGAUUAGCCAGAGAUGAGCCUAGUGGAUUGCGAGUGGGGAAGAAGGAGGGCUGGGGAUUUCUGUAGGAGUGGAAGAAGAGGAGCAGGCGUUUUCUAUACGAGUGAGGAAGAAGGUGAGCGGGGUUUUCCGGAUGAGUGAGGAAGAUUGGGGAGCGGGGGGAAUUGGGGGGGGGGAGACGGAAGCGGGAGAGUGAGUUGUUCAUGUUUAUAAGGCCCGCUGCACUAACUAUUCGCUUUUUCCCAAGGACGCUCUCUUCUUUUGCGUUGCUACAUUGGAGCUGGCGCAUGGACUUGGUUGACUGGCCAUGCAUGCAGGAUGCAUGUGCCCGCCGGCCACUACAUGCGCCUGGUUUGUUACUAGGCCUAUUUAAUAGGGUGGUUAUGGAGUAAAUUAAGGAGAUUUAUUUUCUCUAUGUGCAUCCACCAAAUUAGAGGAUGCGGUACUGGAUGUAGGCACUCACAUUAAACUAACAUUCAGAAGAACAAAAGUUCAGCAUGUCUAUGCAUAUCAAUGAUUCACCAUACUAUAACCAAUACAAAGCCGUGAGAAGGUGUGGAAAUAAAGAAAAUCGGUCGAUGCUUCUCUGAGAAAAGGGCCUCCCUACGCACGCAUUAAUUUCCUGGGCAUGCUUGUUUCUUCUCAAUGUUGCGAGCACUUUGAGCAUGUUGGCAACUCCACGGCUAGCUAGCUGCCUCAUCUUGCAAUUGAUGCUGACACUUUUGCAGCAAACACAUGAGGCAAUAGAGAUGACUCAACAUGGGUCCAUAUUGUGCAGUUCCCCUGAAAUCAUAUUCAUUGUCCUGAAUCUGAAAAGAUAGGAAAAUAGUAGCUAUACUUAUACUGUGUUGCAAAACAGUAGCACAUAUCAAUAGCUCGGCAUGACAAAACACGAUCAUCUGGACGAAGGGGAUACUGACCUGCCUAAGGAAGAUUAUAUAUAAUUUCAUAAGUCCUUGGUUGAUUUCCACCUUCGGCUGCACUGCUUGUUUGCUCCUCCACACAUAACAGGAUCGUUCUGCACUGCAUUCAGCAAGUCAAGUACGAAUAAGCUAAUUUCAUCUUGCGGUGGUCAUUGUACCUAGUUACGAAUGUAGGAAUACCUGGAGCAUGCUAUGUCUUGAGGUUGCGUUGGUUUUCCUUGAAGAGGAAAGGGUGAUGCAGCAAUAGUAGCGGAAGUAUUUCCCUCAGUUUUUGAGAACCAAGGUAUCAAUCCAGUAGGAGGCUCCUCAAAAGUCCCACGCACUGCUACCUCUUGAGCACUGCGUUGGAUUUCCCCGAAGAGAAGAGGAUGAUGCAGUAAAGUAGCGUAAGUAUUUCCCUCCAUUUUUGAGAACCAAGGUAUCAAUCCAGUAGGAGAUCACGCACGAGUCCCUCGUACCUGCACAAAAUGAUAGCUACUCGCAACCAACGCGAUUAGGGGUUGUCAAUCCCUUCAUGGUCACUUACGAGGGUGAGAUCUGAUAGAGAUGAUAAAUAAUAUUUUUGGUAUUUUUGAUAUAGAGAUGCAAAGUGAAAAGUAAAAGGCAAAGUAAAAACAAAGCAAGUAUUAAAGUAAUGGAGAUUGAUAUGAUGAGAAUAGACCCGGGGGCCAUAGGUUUCACUAGUGGCUUCUCUCAAGAGCAUAAGUAUUCUACGGUGGGUGAACAAAUUACUGUUGAGCAAUUGAUAGAAUUGAGCAUAGUUAUGAUUAUAUCUAGGUAUGAUCAUGUGUAUAGGAAUCACGUCCGAGACAAGUAAACCGAAACGAUUCUGCAUCUAUUACUAUUACUCCACUCAUCGACCGCUAUCCGGCAUGCAUCUAGAGUAUUAAGUUAAAAACAGAGUAACGCCUUAAGCAAGAUGACAUGAUGUAGAGGGAUAAAUUCAUGCAAUAUGAUAAAAACACCAUCUUGUUAUCCUCGAUGGCAACAAUACAAUACGUGCCUUGCUGCCCCUUCUGUCACUGGGUAAGGACACCGCAAGAUUGAACCCACAGCUAAGCACUUCUCCGAUUGCAAGAACUACCAAUCUAGUUGGCCAAACCAAACGGAUAAUUCAAAGAGACUUGCAAAGAUAACUCAAUCAUACAUAAAAGAAUUCAGAGAAGAUUCAAAUAUUAUUCAUAGAUAAGCUGGAUCAUAAACCCACAAUUCAUUGGUCUCAACAAACACACCGCAAAAAGAAGAUUACAUCGAAUAGAUCUCCACAAGAGAGGGGGAGAACAUUGCAUUGAGAUCCAAAAAGAGAGAAGAAGACAUCUAGCUACUAACUAUGGACCCGAAGGUCUGAGGUAAACUACUCACACUUCAUCAGAGAGGCUAUGGUGUUGAUGUAGAAGCCCUCCAUGGUGGAUGCCCCCUCCGGCGGAGCUCCGGAAUAGGCCCCAAGAUGGGAUCUUGUGGAUACAGAAGGUUGCGGCGGUGGAAUUAGGUUUUUGGCUCCGUAUUUGAUCUGUCGGGGGUACGUAGGUAUAUAUAGGAGGAAGGAGUACGUCGGUGGACAAACAUGGGGCCCACGAGGUAGGGGGCGCGCCCAGGGGGAGGGCGCGCCCCCCACCCUCGUGACCGCCUCGGUUGUUCCUUGGAGCAGGGUCCAAGUCUCCUGGAUCACGUUCGGUGAGAAAAUCACGUUCCCGAAGGUUUCAUUCCGUUUGGACUCCAUUUGAUAUUCUAUUUCUUCGAAACACUGAAAUAGGCAAAAAAACAGCAAUUCUGGGCUGAGCCUCCGGUUAAUAGGUUAGUCCCAAAAAUAAUAUACAAGUGGAAAAUAAAGCCCAAUAUAAUCCAAAACAGUAGAUAAAGUAGCAUGGAGCAAUCAAAAAAUUAUAGAUACGUUGGAGAUGUAUCAGGCAUCCCCAAGCUUAAUUCCUGCUCGUCCUCGAGUAGGUAAAUGAUAAAAAAGAAUUUUUGAUGCGGAGUGAUACUUUGGCAUGAUUUCAAUGUAAAUCUUCUUAAUUGUAGUAUGAACAUUCAGAUCCGAAAGAUUCAAGACAAAAGUUCGUAUUGACAUAAAAGUAAUAAUACAUCAAGCAUACUAAUCAAAGCAAUCAUGUCUUCUCAAAAUAGCAUGGCUAAAUAAAGUUAUCCCUACAAAAUCAUAUAGUCUGGCUGUUGCUCUAUCUUCAUCACACAAAGUAUUUAAUCAUGCACAACCCCGAUGACAAGCGAAGCAAUUGUUUCAUACUUUAGUAAUCUCAAACUCUUUCAACUUUCACGCAAUACAUGAGCGUGAGCCAUGGACAUAGCACUAUAUGUGGAAUAGACUGGUGGUUGUGGAGAAGACAAAAAAGGAGAAGAUAGUCUCACAUCAACUAGGCGUAUCAACGGGCUAUGGAGAUGCCCAUUAAUAGAUAUCAAUGUGAGUGAGUAGGGAUUGUCAUGCAACGGAUGCACUAGAGCUAUAAAUAUAUGAAAGCUCAACAAAAGAAACUAAGUGGGUGUGCAUCCAACUUGCUUGCUCACGAAGACCUAGGGCACUUUUGAGGAAGCCCGUCAUUGGAAUAUACAAGCCAAGUUCUAUAAUGAAAAUUUCCCACUAGUAUACGAAAGUGACAACAUAUGAGUCUCUGUCUAUCAUGAAGAUCAUGGUGCUACUUUGAAGCACAAGUGUGGUAAAAGGAUAGUAACAUUGUCCCUUCUCUCUUUUUCUCUCAUUUUUUAUUGGGCCUUUUCUCUUUUUUUAUGGCCUCUUUUUAUAUAUAUAUUUCGUCCGGAGUCUCAUCCCGACUUAUGGGGGAAUCAUAGUCUCCAUCAUCCUUUCCUCACUGGGACAAUGCUCUAAUAAUGAUGAUCAUAACACUUUUAUUUUUCUUACAACUCAACAAUUACAACUCGAUACUUAGAACAAAAUAUGACUCUAUAUGAAUGCCUCCGGUGGUGUACCGGGAUAUGCAAUGAAUCAAGAGCGACAUGUAUGAAAAUUAUGAAGGUGGCCUUGCCACAAAUACAAUGUCAACUACAUGUUUAUGCAAAAAGCAAUAUGACAAAAGUAAUGUGUGUCAUAUGAACGGAACGGUGGAAAGUUGCAUGGCAAUAUAUCUCGGAAUGGCUAUGGAAAUGCCAUGAUAGGUAGGUAUGGUGGCUGUUUUGAGGAAGGUAUAUAGUGGGUGUAUGAUACCGGCGAAAAGUGCGCGGUAUUAGAGAGGCUAGCAAUGGUGGAAGGGUGGAAGGGUGUGUAUAAUCCAUGGACUCAACAUUAAUCAAAAGAACUCAUGCACUUGUUGCAAAAAUUUAGAAGUCAUCAAAAACCAAAGCACUACACGCAUGCUCCUAGGGGGAUAGAUUGGUAGGAAAAGACCAUCGCUCGUCCCCGACCGCCACUCAUAAGGAAUACAAUCAAUAAAUUAAAUUGUGCUCCAACUUCAUCACAAAGCGGUUCACCAUACAUGCAUGCUACGGGAAUCACAAACUUCAACACAAGCAUUCUUUAAAUUCAUAAUCACCCAACUAGCAUCACUUUGAUAUUAUCACCUCCAUAUCUCAAAACAAUUAUCAAGCAUCAAACUUAUCUUAGUAUUCAACGUACUCAAAAGAAAGUUUCACAUAUCUUGAAUACCAAGUGUAUUUAACAUUAAGCAAAUUACCAUGCUAUUAACGACUCUCAAAAUAAUCUAAGUGAAGCAUGAGUGAUCAAUAGUAUCUUUAAAACAAAUCCACCACCGUGCUCUAAAAGAUCUAAGUGAAGCACUAGAGCAAAAAUUAUCACGCUCAAAAGAUAUAAGUGAAGCACUUAUGAGCAAAACUAUCAAGCUCAAAAGAUAUAAGUGAAGCAUAUAGAGUAUUCUAGCAAAUUCCAAUUUAUGUGUGGCUCUCUCAAAAUGUGUGUACAGCAAGGAUGAUUGUGGUAAACUAACAAGCAAAGACGCAAAUAAUACAAGACGCUCCAAGCAAAACACAUAACAUGUGGUGAAUAAAAAUAUAGCUCCAAGUAAAUUACCGAUGGAAGUAGACGAAAGAGGGGAUGCCUUCCGGGGCAUCCCCAAGCUUUGACAUUUUGGUGUCCUUGGAUUAUCUUGGGGGUGCCAUGGGCAUCCCCAAGCUUAGGCUCUUGCCACUCCUUGUUCUAUAAUCCAUCAAAAGAAUUCACCCAAAACUUGAAAACUUCACAACACAAAACUCAAUAGAAAUCUUGCGAGCUCCGUUAGUGAAAGAAAACAAAAGACUAAUUUAAGGUACUGUAAUUAACUCAUUAUUUAUUUAUAUUGGUGUUAAACCUACUGUAUUUCAACUUCCUUAUGGUUUAUAAACUAAUUUAUUAGCCAUAGAUGCAUUGAAAUAAGCAAACAACACACGAAAAACAGAAUCUGUCAAAAACAGAACAGUCUGUAGCAAUCUGUAACUAACGCAAACUUCUGGAACUCUAAAAAUCCUACCAAAAUAGGACGUACUGGAAAAUUUGUCUAUUGAUUAGCAGCAAAACGAAUCAAUGCAAAAGCACGUUUCAGAGAUUUAUUGAAUUUUUUCUCGUGAGCGCAAAGUUUCUGUUUUUCAGCAGAAUCAAAUCAACUAUCAUCGUAGGUUAUGCUAUAGGUUCUACUUGGCACAAACACUAAUUAAAACAUAAAACCACAUCUAACCAGAGGCUAGAUGGAUUAUUUAUUCCUAAACAUAAGCAAAAACAAAAAAUAAAAAAUAAAAUUGGGUUGCCUCCCAACAAGCGCUAUCGUUUAACGCCCCUAGCUAGGCAUAAAAGCAAGGAUAGAUCUAGGUUUUGCCAUCUUUGGUAGGCAAUCCAUAAGUGGCUUUCAUGAUAGAUUCAUAAGGUAAUUUUAUUUGGGAAGUGUUCCAUGCCCUUCUUUAAGGGAAAUUGGAAUCUAAUAUUCCCUUCCUUCAUAUCAAUAAUCGCACCAAUCGUUCUAAGGAAAGGUCUACCAAGAAUAAUAGGACAUGAAGGAUUGCAAUCUAUAUCAAGAACGAUAAAAUCUACGGGCACAUAAUUCCUAUUUUCAACAAUAAGAACAUCAUUAAUUCUUCCCAUAGGAUUUUUAAUAGUGGAAUCCACAAUACGCAAGUUUGGAGAGCAAUCUUCAAAGUCAUGGAAAUCUAGCAAAUGACACAAAGUUUUGGGAAUAGUGGAGACACUAGCACCCAAAUCACACAAGGCAUGAAACUCAUAAUUUUUAAUUUUUAUUUUAAUAGUAGGUUCCCACUCAUCAUAGAGUUUUCUAGGGAUAGAAACUUUCAACUCACGUUUUUCUUCAUAAGAUUGCAUCAAGGCAUCAACAAUGUGUUCCGUAAAGGCCUUAUUUUGGCUAUAAGCAUGAGGAGAAUUUAGCACGGAUUGCAACAAGGAAAUACAAUCAAUUAGGGAGCAAUUUUCACAAUUAAAUUCCUUGAGAUCCAAAAUAGUGGGUUUAGCAACAUCUAGGUUUUUAUUUCUUUCAAUCCCACUUUCAUCAAUUUCAUCAUCAAGGUCUAAAAACUCUGAAUUCUUAAAACGCCUUCUAGGUAAAGGAAGAUCAUAUUCAGUUUCAUCAAGAUUCAUAUUGCAAAACAAAGAUUUAAUGGGGGACACAUCAAUAACUUUUAGAUCUUCAUCUUGAUUUUCAUAGGAAUUGGAAGAACACGCUUUAAUAAAGGCAUCUUUGGAAGCAUGCAUCCUAGCGGUUCUUUCCUUGCACUCAUCAAUGGAAAUUCUCAUAGCUUUGAGAGACUCAUUGAUAUCAUGUUUAGGAGGAAUAGAUCUAAGCUUUAAAGAAUCAAUUUCAAGAGAAAUUCUAUCAACGUUCGUAGCCAAAUCAUCAACUUUAAGCAAUUGCUCUUCAAGCAAAGCAUUAAAAUUCUUUUGUGAAUUCAUAAACUCUUUAACACUACUCUCAAAUUCAGAGGGCAUCUUAUUAAAAUUUCCAUAAGAGUUGUUGUAGGAAUUUCCAUAAUUAUUAGAAGGAUUACUAGGAUAAGGCCUAGGAUUAAAAUUCCCUCUAUACGCAUUGUUACCAAAAUUAUUCCUACCAACAAAAUUCACAUCCAUAGAUUCAUUAUUAUUCUCAAUCAAAGUAGACAAGGGCAUAUCAUUAGGAUCAGAAGAAACACUCUUAGUAGCAAAUAAUUUCAUAAGUUCAGCCAUCUUUCCACUCAAAACAUUAAUUUCUUCUAUCGCAUGCACUUUUUUAUUAGUAGAUCUUUCAGUAUGCCAUUGAGAAUAAUUUACCAUAAUAUUAUCUAGAAGUUUAGUAGCAUCUCCUAGAGUGAUUUCCAUAAAAGUGCCUCCUGCGGCCGAAUCUAAAAGAUUUCUAGAAGCAAAAUUCAAUCCGGCAUAAAUUUUUUGUAUAAUCAUCCACAAGUUCAAACCAUGAGUAGGACAAUUACGUAUCAUUAACUUCAUUCUCUCCCAAGCUUGUGCAACAUGUUCAUGAUCAAGGUGCUUAAAAUUCAUAAUAUCGUUCCUAAGAGAGAUAAUCUUAGCGGGAGGAAAAUUCUUAGAGAUAAAAGCAUCUUUGCAUUUGUUCCAAGAAUCAAUACUAUUUUUAGGCAAAGAUGAAAACCACGCUUUAGCACGAUCUCUAAGCAAAAAAGGAAAUAGCUUCAAUUUAACGACAUCAUUAUCGACAUCUUUUUUCUUUUGCAUAUCACAUAAAUAAACGGAGCUAUUCAGAUGAGUAGCAGCAUCUUCACUAGGAAGGUCGGCGAAUUGAUCUUUCAUAACAAGAUUAAACAAAGCAGUAUUGAUUUCACAAGAUUCAGUAUUGCCAAGAGGAGCAAUCGAAGUGCUAAGGAAAUCAUUAUUAUUGGUAUUGGGGAAGUCACACAAUUUGGUAGCAUCUUGAGCCAUCGCGACAAACAAGCAAUCCAACACACGAGCAAACAAAAGGGCAAACGAGAAAAAGGCGAAAGGGAAAGAGAGGAGGAGAUUGGGAAAGAGAGGGCGAAUAAAAUGGCAAGGGUGAAGUGGGGGAGAGGAAAACGAGAGGCAAAUAAUGUAAUGCGAGAGAUAGGGAUUGUGAUGGGUACUUGAUAUGGUUGACUUUUGCGCAAACUCCCCGGCAACGGCGCCAGAAAUUCUUCUUGCUACCUCUUGAGCACUGCGUUGGAUUUCCCCGAAGAGGAGAGGAUGAUGCAGUAAAGUAGCGUAAGUAUUUCCCUUACUUUUUGAGAACCAAGGUAUCAAUCCAGUAGGAGAUCACGCAAGAGUCCCUCGUACCUGCACAAAACGAUAGCAACUCGCAACCAACGCGAUUAGGGGUUGUCAAUCCCUUCACGGUCACUUACGAGGGUGAGAUCUGAUAGAGAUGAUAAAUAAUAUUUUUGGUAUUUUUGAUAUAGAGAUGCAAAGUGAAAAGUAAAAACAAAGCAAGUAUUAAAGUAAUGGAGAUUGAGAUGAUGGGAAUAGACCCGGGGGCCAUAGGUUUCACUAGUGGCUUCUCUCAAGAGCAUAAGUAUUCUACGGUGGGUGAACAAAUUACUGUUGAGCAAUUGAUAGAAUUGAGCAUAGUUAUGAUUAUAUCUAGGUAUGAUCAUGUGUAUAGGCAUCACGUCCGAGACAAGUAAACCGAAAUGAUUCUGCAUCUACUACUAUUACUCCACUCAUCGACCGCUAUCCAGCAUGCAUCUAGAGUAUUAAGUUAAGAAUAGAGUAACGCCUUAAGCAAGAUGACAUGAUGUAGAGGGAUAAAUUCAUGCAAUAUGAUAAAAAACCAUCUUGUUAUCCUUGAUGGCAACAAUAUAAUACGUGCCUUGCUGCCCCUUCUGUCACUGGGUAAGGACACCGCAAGAUUGAACCCAGAGCUAAGCACUUCUCCCAUUGCAAGAACUACCAAUCUAGUUGGCCAAACCAAACGGAUAAUUUGAAGAGACUUGCAAAGAUAACUCAAUCAUACAUAAAAGAAUUCAGAGAAGAUUCAAAUAUUAUUCAUAGAUAAGCUGGAUCAUAAACCCACAAUUCAUCGAUCUCAACAAACACACCGCAAAAAGAAGAUUACAUCGAAUAGAUAUCCACAAGAGAGGGGGAGAACAUUGUAUUGAGAUCCAAAAAGAGAGAAGAAGCCAUCUAGCUACUAACUAUGGACCCGAAGGUCUGAGGUAAACUACUCACAUUUCAUCGGAGAGGCUAUGGUGUUGAUGUAGAAGCCCUCCGUGAUGGAUGCCCCCUCUGGCGGAGCUCCGGAACAGGCCCCAAGAUGGGAUCUCGUGGAUACAGAAGGUUGCGGCGGUGGAAUUAGGUUUUUGGCUCCGUAUUUGAUCUGUCGGGGGUACGUAGGUAUAUAUAGGAGGAAGGAGUACGUCGGUGGAGCAACAAGGGGCCCAUGAGGUAGGGGGGCGCGCCCAGGGGGAGGGCGCGCCCCCCACCCUCGUGACCGCCUCGGUUGUUCCUUGGAGCAGGGUCCAAGUCUCCUGGAUCAUGUUCACUGACAAAAUCACGUUCCCGAAGGUUUCAUUCCAUUUGGACUCCGUUUGAUAUUCUGUUUCUUCGAAACACUGAAAUAGGAAAAAAAAAGGCAUUUCUGGGCUGGGCCUCCGGUUAAUAGGUUAGUCCCAAAAAUAAUAUAAAAGUGGAAAAUAAAGCCCAAUAUAGUCCAAAACAGUAGAUAAAGUAGCACGGAGCAAUCAAAAAUUGUAGAUACGUUGGAGACGUAUCACGCACCUACACAAAUUAAACAAAGAACUCGCAACCAACGCAAUAAAGGGGUUAUCAAUCCCCUCAUAGCCACUUGCAAAAGUGAGAUCUGAUAGAGAUAGUAUGAUAAAAUAAAUAUAUUUUUGGUAUUUUAUAAUAUAGAUGCAAAAGGUAAAGAUAUAAAUAAAAGUAGAUUGAAAGCUAAUAUGAUAAAAGAUAGACCCGGGGGCCAUAGGUUUUACUAGUGGCUUCUCUCAAGAUAGCAUAAGUAUUACGGUGGGUGAACAAAUUACUGUCGAGCAAUUGAUAGAAAAGCGAAUAAUUAUGAGAUUAUCUAGGCAUGAUCAUGUAUAUAGGCAUCACGUCCAUGACAAGUAGACCGACUCCUGCCUGCAUCUACUACUAUUACUCCACACAUCGACCGCUAUCCUGCAUGCAUGUAGAGUAUUAAGUUCAUAAGAACAGAGUAACGCAUUAAGAAAGAUGACAUGAUGUAGAGGGAUAAACUCAAGCAAUAUGAUACAAACCCCAUAUUUUUAUCCUCGAUGGCAACAAUACAAUACGUGCCUUGCAACCCUUUCUGUCACUGGGUAAGGACACCGCAAGAUUGAACCCAAAGCUAAGCACUUCUCCCAUGGCAAGAAAGAUCAAUCUAGUAGGCCAAACCAAACUGAUAAUUCGAAGAGACUUGCAAAGAUAACUCAAUCAUACAUAAAAGAAUUCAGAGGAGAUUCAAAUAUUUCUCAUAGAUAAACUUGAUCAUAAACUCACAAUUCAUCGGAUCUCGACAAACACACCGCAAAAAGAGUUUACAUCGAAUAGAUCUCCACAAGAGAGGGGGAGAACAUUGUAUUGAGAUCCAAAAAGAGAGAAUAAGCCAACUAGCUAAUAACUAUGGACCUGAAGGUCUGUGGUAAACUACUAACAACUCAUCGGAGGGGCUAUGGUGUUGAUGUAGAAGCCCUCCAUGGUCGAUUCCCCCUCCGGUGGAGCACCGGCGAAGGCUCCAAGAUGGGAUCUUGCGGAUACAGAAGGUUACGGCAGUGGAAAUUGUGUUUCGGUGGCUCCCUAGAUGUUUUCGAGGUACGUAGGUAUAUAUGGGAGGAAGAAGUACGUCGGUGGCCACUCGAGGGGCCCAGGAGACAGGGGCGCGCCCUCCAACCUCCUGGCCGCCUCAUUUGCUUCUUGACUUCCACUCCAAGUUCUCUGGAUCACGUUCGUUCCAAAAAUCAUGCUCCCGAAGGUUUCAUUCCGUUUGGACUCCGUUUGAUAUUCCUUUUCUUCGAAAUACUAAAAUAGGCAAAAAACAGCAAUACGGGUUGGGCCUCCGGUUAGUAGGUUAGUCCCAAAAAUGAUAUAAAUGUGUAAAAUAAAGCCCAUAAACAUCCAAAAGGGGUAAUAUAAUAGCAUGGAACAAUCAAAAAUUAUAGUUACGUUGGAGACGUAUCAAGCAUCCCCAAGCUUAAUUCCUGCUCGUCCUCAAGUAGGUAAAUGAUAAAAACAAAUUUUUUUGAUGUGGAAUGCUACCUAGCAUAAUUCUCAAUGUAAUUUUCUUUAUUGUGGCAUGAAUGUUCAGAUCCAAAUGAUUCAAAAUAAAAGUUCAUAUUGAUAAAAGAAAUAGUAACACUUCAAGCAUACUAAUCAAAGCAAUUACGUCUUCUCAAAAUAACAUGGCUAAAGAAAUUUCGUCCCUACAAAAUCAUAUAGUUAGGCUAUGCUUCAUUUUCGUCACACAAAGAUGUUCCCAAAUUCUACACCCCCGAUGACAAGCCAAGCAAUUGUUUCGUACUUAAAUAAUCUCAAACUUUUUCAACCUUCACGCAAUACAUGAGCAUGAGCCAUGGAUAUAGCACUAUGGGUGGAAUAGAAUAUGAUGAUGGGGAUUGUGUGGAGAAGACAAAAAAAGAGAAAGUCUCACAUUGACGAGGAUAAUCAACGGGCUAUGGAGAUGCCCAUCAAUUGAUGUCAACAUGAGGAGUAGGGAUUGCCAUGCAACGGAUGCACUAGAGCUAUAAAUGAAUGCUUAACAAAAGAAAACUAGUGGGUGUGCAUCCAACUUGCUUGCUCACGAAGACCUAGGGCAUUUGAGGGAGCCCAUCGUAGGAAUAUACAAGCCAAGUUCUAUAAUGAAAAAUUCCCACUAGUAUAUGAAAGUGACAACAUAUGAGACUCACUAUAUGAAAAACAUGGUGCUACUUUGAAGCACAAGAUAUGAGACUCACUACAUGAAGAACAUGGUGCUACUUUGAAGCACAAGUGUGGAAAAAGAGAUAGUAACAUUGCCCCUUUUUAUUUUUUUUCUUUUUUUUAUUUUUAUUUUUUUUCUUUGGCCUUUCUUUUUUUUCUUUUUCUUUUUUUUUCUUUUUGGGCAAUGUUCUAAUAAUGAUGAUCAUCACACUUUCAUUGAUUACAACAUAUGAAUUACAACUCGAAACUAGAACAAGAUAUGACUCUAUAUGAAUGCCUUCGGCGGUGUACCGGGAUGGUGCAAUGAAUCAAGAGUGACAUGUAUAAAAAAUUAUGCAUGGUGGCUUUGCCACAAAUACAAUGUCAAUUACAUGAUCAUGCAAUGGCAAUAUGACAAAAGUAAAGUAUGUCAUGAUGAUGAUGAACGCAACGGUGGAAAGUUGCAUGGCAAUAUAUCUCGGAAUGGCUAUGGAAAUGCCAUAAUAGGUAGGUAUGGUGGCUGUUUUGAGGAAGAUAUAAGGAGGUUUAUGUGUGAUAGAGCGUAUCAUAUCACGGGGUUUGGAUGCACUGGCGAAGUUUGCACCAACUCUCAAGGUGAGAAAGGGCAAUGCUCGGUACCAAAGAGGCUAGCAAUGGUGGAAUGGUAAAAGUGCGUAUAAUUCAUGGACUCAACAUUAGUCAAAAGAACUCAUAUACUUAUUGCAAAAAUUGAUAAGUCAUCAAAAAUCAAGCACUACGUGCAUGCUCCUAGAGGGAUAUAUUGGUAGGAAAAGACCAUCGCUCGUCCCCGACCGCCACUCAUAAGGAUGCACAAGCCAGGUACACUCCAUGUUUCAAAUUUGUUACACAACUUUAACCAUACGUGCAUGCUAUGGGACUUGCUAACUUCAACACAAGCAUUCUUUAAAUUCAUAAUCACCCAACUAGCAUGACUUUAAUAUCACUACCUCCAUAUCUCAAAACAAUUAUCAAGUAUCAAAUUGAUCAAAGCAUCCAAUUCACUUCCUAUGAUAGUUUUUAUUGUACCCAACUUGGAUGCCUACCAUUCUAGGACAAAUUUAUAACCGUAGCAAAUACCAUUCUGUUCUAAAAGACUCUCAAAAUAAUAUAAGUGAAGCAUGGGAUACUAGCAAUUUCUAUAAAAUCAAGCAACCGCCAUGCUCAAAAAGAUAUAAGUGAAGCACUAGAGCAAAAACUAUCAAGCUCAAAAGAUAUAAGUGAAGCACAUAGCAUAUUCUAAUAAAUUCAAAUCAAGUAUGCUUCUCCCAAAAGGUGUGUACAGCAAGGAUGAUUGUGGUAAACUAAAAAGCAAAGACUAAUAUAAUACACGACGCUCCAAGCAAAACACAUAUCAUGUGGCGAAUAAAAAUAUAGCUCCAAGUAAAGUUACCAAUGAACGAAGACAAAAGAGGGGAUGCCUUCCCGGGGCAUCCCCAAGCUUAGGCUUUUGGCUAUUCUUGAAUAUCUUGGGGUGCCAUGGGCAUCCCCAAGCUUAGGAUUUUGCCACUCCUUAUUCCAUAGUCCAUCAAAGCUUUACCCAAAACUUGAAAACUUCACAACACAAAACUCAACAGGAAAUCUUAUAAGCUCCGUUAGUGAAAGAAAACAAAACCACCACAUAAGGUACUGUAAUGAAAUCAUUCUUUAUUUAUUUUGGUGUUAAACCUACUUUAUUCCAAGUUCUCUAUGGUUCAUACCACUUAAUACUAGCCAUAGAUGCAUCAAAAUAAGCAAACAACACACGAAAAACAGAAUCUGUCAAAAACAGAACAGUCUGUAGCAAUAUGUAACUAACGCAAACUUCUGGAACUCUAAAAAUCCUACCAAAAUAGUAAGUCCUGCACAAUUUGUUUAUUGAUCAGAAUCAAAAAGAAUCAAUGCAAAAGCACGUUCUUGUAAUUUAUAGAAUUUUUUAUCGUGAGCGCAAAGUUUCUGUUUUUCAGCAGAAUCAAAUCAACUAUCACCAUAGGUUAUCCUAUAGGUUCUACUUGGCACAAACACUAAUUAAAACAUAAAAACACAUCUAAACAGAAAUUAGAAGCAAAAUGUAUUACUAAGCAGGAACAAAAACAAACAACACAAAGAAAAUUGGGUUGCCUCCCAACUAGCGCUAUCGUUUAACGCCCCUAGCUAGGCAUAAAAGCGAAGAUAGAUCUAAGUAGUGCCAUCUUUGAUUUUCAGUUUUUUAGCGGAGUCAUGCUCGAAUCCGGGAGGUUCUUUACGUUUCCCUUCAUACUCGGAAAUUUUUAGAUCUAAAGAAUCCAACCGCUUAUUGCAAAGAGUGAUCAACAUAUUCAUGCGGUGAAGAUUUCCGCUAACACUUUUAAGAGGCUCAAGAGACUUUUGUAAAAAAAUUGUUAGUUCGCAAAUCUUUCCAAACACUUGUGUUUCUUCUUGGGUAGGAUGUGAUCCUCCCUUUUGAGGUAGUGUUCCCACUAUUCCCUCCAUAAUUUCAUGAGCAAUACUAGGAUCAAUUUCAAGAAAAUUUCCCUUGGCAAUGCAAUCCAAGAGUUGUCUAUGCGUCAUAUUUAGCCCAACAUAAAAAUUGCGAAGAAGAAUUCUAAAGUUCACCUCUAGGGUGCACUUGCGAUAAGAUUCCAUCAUCCUAUACCAAGAAUCUUUUAAGUUUUCUCCUUGCCUUUGCUUGAAGUGAAGAACUUCAAACUCGGGAGACAUAGGAGCGGAUAAGGAACUAGCCAUAACGACAAGGUAAACGAUCUAACGCACGAGCAAACAGAAAAGGGCAAGCGAAAAAGAGAGAGACAUUGGGAAAGAGAGGGCAAAUAAAACGACAAGGGUGAAGUGGGGGAGAAGAAAACGAGAGGCAAUAGGCAAAUAAUGUAAAUGCGAGGGAGAUGAGUUUGUGAUGGGUACUUGGUAUGUCUUGACUUGAGCGAAGACCUCCCCGGCAACGGCGCCAGAAAUUCUUCUUGCUACGUCUUGAGCUUGCGUUGGUUUUCCUUGAAGAGGAAAGGGUGAUGCAGCAAUAGUAGCAUAAGUAUUUCCCUCUGUUUUGAGAACCAAGGUAUCAAUCUAGUAGGAGGCUCCUCAAAAGUCCCACGCACCUACACAAACAAACAAAGAACUCGCAACCAACGCAAUAAAGGGGUUGUCAAUCCCUUCACGGCCACUUGCGAAAGUGAGAUCUGAUAGAGAUAGUAUGAUAAGAUAAAUAUAUUUUUGGUAUUUUAUAAUAUAGAUGCAAAAAGUAAAGAUACAAAUAAAAGUAGAUUGAAAGCUAAUAUGAUAAAAGAUAGACCCGGGGGCCAUAGGUUUCACUAGUGGCUUCUCUCAAGAUAGCAUAAGUAUUACGGUGGGUGAACAAAUUACUGUCGAGCAAUUUAUAGAAAAGCGAAUAAUUAUGAGAUUAUCUAGGCAUGAUCAUGUAUAUAGGCAUCACGUCCGUGACAAGUAGAGCGACUCCUGCCUGCAUCUACUACUAUUACUCCACACAUCGACCGUUAUCCAGCAUGCAUCUAGAGUAUUAAGUUCAUAAGAACAGAGUAACACAUUAAGAAAGAUGACAUGAUGUAGAGGGAUAAACUCAAGCAAUAUGAUAUAAACCCCAUCUUUUUAUCCUCGAUGGAAAAAAUACAAUACGUGCCUUGCAACCCUUUCUGUCACUAGGUAAGGACACUGCAAGAUUGAACCCAAAGCUAAGCACUUCUCCCAUGGCAAGAAAGAUCAAUCUAGUAGGCCAAACCAAACUGAUAAUUCGAAGAGACUUGCAAAGAUAACUCAAUCAUACAUAAAAUAAUUCAGAGGAGAUUCAAAUAUUUCUCAUAGAUAAACUUGAUCAUAAACUCACAAUUCAUCGGAUCUCGACAAACACACCGCAAAAAGAGUUUACAUCGAAUAGAUCUCCACAAGAGAGGGGGAGAACAUUCUAUUGAGAUCCAAAAAGAGAGAAGAAGCCAACUAGCUAAUAACUACGAACCCGAAGGUCUAUGGUAAACUACUCACAACUCAUCGGAGGGGCUAUGGUGUUGAUGUAGAAGCCCUCCGUGGUCGAUUCCCCCUCCGGCAGAGUGCCGGCAAAGGUUCCAAGAUGGGAUCUUGCGGAUAAAGAAGGUUACGGUGGUGGAAAUUGUGUUUCGGUGGCUCCCUGGAUGUUUUCGGGGUACAUAGGUAUAUAUAGGAGGAAUAAGUACGUCGGUGGCCGCUCGAGGGGCCUAGGAGACAGGGGGCGCGCCUAGGAGGGGUGGGCGCGCCCUCCUACCUCUUGGCCGCCUCGUUUGCUUCUUGACUUGCACUCCAAGUUCUCCGGAUCACGUUCGUUCCAAAAAUCACGCUCCCGGAGGUUUCAUUCCGUUUGGACUCCGUUUGAUAUUCCUUUUCUUCAAAAUACUGAAAUAGGCAAAAAAACAGCAAUACGGGUUGGGCCUCCGGUUAGUAGGUUAGUCCCAAAAAUGAUAUAAAUGUGUAAAAUAAAGCCCAUAAACAUCCAAAAGGGGUAAUAUAAUAGCAUGGAACAAUCAAAAAUUAUAGAUACGUUGGAGACGUAUCAGAGCACCAUGAGGUUAGCUGACAGCAGGUAGAUGCAGCCAUAUAAAUUUUGUGCGGUGCUACCAAAAUUGAGGUUUGUAUCCCUUCCCGUUAUGAGAAUUCUUAUUGAAGUUGGUAGAAUGUGACGGCUUGUUCUUUGCAUCAAACUUGCCUUUCCCCUGAGAUUUGUUCUUGUUGCUUUGGGGCUGGUUGGGCUGGAAGUUCUUCUCGUGUACCAUGUGGGCCCUAGAAGCUCCCUCAGCGACCCGAGCAUGUGUGUCUUUUGCUCUCGCCUUCUCCUCAAAAUCAAGAGUGCUAAUGAGAUCCAAAAUAGAAAACUCAUGUCUCUUGUUUUUCAGAGAAAUAGCAAAAUCGUUCCACGAAGGUGGAAGCUUGGCAAUGAUGGUCCCAGCAACAAAUUUGUCCGGCAACACACACUUAAAGUACUCAAGUUCCUUAAAGAGUGACUGUAUCUCAUGAGUCUGCUGAACAACAGAGCGCUCAUCAGUCAUCUUGUAGUCACAGAAUUGCUCCAUGACGUACAACUCGUUGCCAGCGCCCGUGGGCCCAAACAUGGCCUCGAGCGCAGCCCACAUGUCUUUGCCGCUGUCAAACGACAUAUAUGAAUCCACAAUGGAAUCGUCAAGAACACUUAGCAGGGCGGCUUUGAAGAGGGUAUCCAUGUUCUGAAAGGCUUCCUGCUGUGUAGGAUUAAGAUCGCCCUCAGGCUUACCCUUAGUGGCGUCAUAGCAGUACAUGAUCUGAAACCAAUAUACUGAUCUUGUGCGCCACAUUUUAUAUUGCACCCCCUUAAAAGUAGGCGGCUUCAAAAGCGCAGCAAAACCAUUCAGAGUAAAUUGCCUGUAAUCAGGUUUUUGGAUUGGAUUGUUGAAUAUAUGAGCAAUUUACUAUGAGAUUUAAUCCAAAUCAGCAGUAAAUAGAUCAUGACGACAAUUGCAAACAUCAAAGUAAUGAUGCGGACUAAACCAGGAGGACAGAAUCACAUACUGUACAGCGGGGGCAGAACCGAUUUGGUUGAUGUUGUCACUCAUGUCGUUGAUGAAGAGGUUACCGAGGUCGGGGAAGAAGGCUGUCGUUGAGGAAGUCAUUGCUGGCAGCAGUCACAGGAGUGUGCUCCCCAAAAACCUGAUUGCCCCUCUCCCAUACAGGAUCAUGAAAGGUGGGGUUCAAAGGACUGAUGUCCCUUCUCGCGGUGCACGCUGGAAGGAGGGCUGGAGAAGAAUUGUGUGGCGGCGCUAAGAUCUGGAACGGUGCGAAACCAUAUGAUACAGCGGCGGCUAGGGUAGAGCAUGUCAGGUCGGUUGUGCGAGGAUAAUAGUAGGCCUUUGGCCCCAAAACCCCACGUCCAAGUUAAUAAUAGCUCAAAAAAAGUCAAUAAUAGCCCCACCAAGGUUUGUCUCAAAAAAACCGGAGUAAUUAAGGCGUCCGUUAGUCCCUUUAGUAUAAAUACUAUAUCAUUAAUAAUGCCCCACCUUUUGUCUCACAAAGUAUGUUGGAGUACAACCGGCUACACGUUUACAAUCCGCUUCGCUUCUCUCUCCUCUUCUCUCUCCUUCAACUAAGGCUAGCCAUAGUGGGAGUAACUUAGGUAGUAACUUAAGACAUCCCAAGACAAUUUUGCUUAUGUGGCAAGUAUUUGAUGAGGAAAGAGGUGCUUGUGGUAACAUAAUAUGUUACUAUAACAUAGCGCUUCCUGAGGCAAAAUGAGUCUAUUAGAUAAUAAAUGAAGCAGUCUAUGAUACUACUACUAUGUUACUACCUCCGUCCUGGUUUAUUGGUCCCCAUAAUAUUUUGUGCCAAACUUUGACCAUAGAUUUAACUAAAUAAAUAAUAAUGCAUGUUAGCAAAAAUUAUAUCCCUGGAUUCGUAUUUGAACAUAGUUUUGAGAGAUAUUAUUUUUGGUUACAUGCAUUAAAAUUUUUUAGUUAAAUCUAAGGUCAAAGUUUUGCACAAAAUACUAAAGGGACUAAUAAACCAGGACGGAGGUAGUACUUUGCACUAUGGAGGUAAUAACUUACACUAGUGUCAUAUGCAUGACACUAGUCUAAGUUACUCCCCACUGACCAGCCUAAGCACAAAUACUAUAUUUAAAUCCUUAUAGCCUGCUUAUGUCAUCUAGUUGUAGUACUUGCUCUAAAGUUACUCUCCACUGUGUAGUCUGAAAUGUCGGGCGUGCAACGGGCGGUGCCCUCGGUCGGCGUGCCGCUUCAACGGCGGAAGCAGUGAGAGGUCGUGUCGCCCUGACUUGCCAUCAAUGUGGAGCGGCGAGCUCAGCUGGCGCCGGGCGGGAAGCGCGCGUGGGAGGGGGAGGGUUUUUUGUUGGGCCAAGAAGGUGAGAAGCCAACUUGGGAUCGGUCCGGACGGGGAAAUAUCAUGUGCUCCCAUACUCUGCAUAUGACACUAGUCUAUGUUACUACUCCCUCCUUUCCGGUUUACAGAUAUGUUUAGAGUAACAUAGUAAUAUGUUACAGUAUAAGUUACUCCCCACUAUGACCACCCUUGGCCUCUCCCAGUGCUCCACCAUGUAUAGCUGCUAAGCCUGCCACGUAGGCAUAAAAUAUGAUGUGGCACCAAUAAACUAAGCACCUAUGCAUUGAAGACUUGAGUUACUAAGCCAUUUAAUGCACUUAGCACCUCAUCUAAAGAGCAUGGUUAAUAGUAUAGCCAGCUGCUGGCUAUAAGCCAGUGCCAUGUCAUCUACAGCCCAUCUUAUAGUCAACAUGUACAAUAGUAGAUCAAAAGAGUGUACUACUUUUUUAGUAUGUGGCCCACCUUUCAUUCUCACAAAGUGCCUAGGAGCACGUGCUAGAGCUGGCUCUUCAUGAAGAGCCCGCUUACCCUUCUCUCUCCUCUUCUCUUUCCUCCAACUAAGCAGAAAUAUACUAGUUUAUUCCUUAUAGCCCGCUGACUCAGCUCUAUUGUACUUUCUCUAAGAAUAUCUAAGCACUUACUAGCACCCCCUUGACGGUGUACGUCACCUUGUGUCUUAUAAUUUUCCUCGUCAUCAUUUGAGUCCUAGAAGAUCUCACCCACAUCAUCAUUAGCAUGCAGCCGCCUUGAUAGACAACAUGUGCAGAAGGAGUAGAGGCUACUGGGGACGCACCACCACCACGUCAUGGGCACUCCGUAUGUGCUCGUGUGCGUGCAGCGUGCGUGUUUUUCCAUCGGUGCUAGCUCUAAGGCUGAGGCUGCGGUCUUCUUCGUCUCCGACUAGUAGUUGAGCAACGACGGCAAAGAGGUGCUGCAAGAGAUGUGUAUGCGCUGUUGCGUGCGAGCUUCGCCGUAGCACGACGAAGUGGACGUCGCCGCGAAUGGCUCACCCCUCCAUGCAGCAGAGUGUGCGCGCAUGCAUGUGUUAUUCACGUGCAUUCUGCGGCCGAGCGUGUGUGCAUGCACGUCUUGUGUACGUGUGUUGUGUGCUCCAUGCUGUGCUCGUAUGUGCAUGAGUUGGAUUGGAUGGAGUUAGUGCGUUGGCGUGUGUACAUGCGUGGCUGCAUGCGUCCUGUACAUGCAUGGCUUGUUGCGUGGUUAGCAAUAAUUCAAUAUAAACUACUCCCUCCGUUCCUAAAUAUAAGUCUUUCUAGCCAUUUCAAAUAGACUACAACAUACGGAUGUAUGUAGACAUAUUUUAGAGUGUAGAUUCACUCAUUUUGUUUCAUAUGUAGUCCCUUAUUGAAAUCUCUAAAAAGACUUAUAUUUGGGAACGGAGGGAGUAUAAAACAUCUUCAACUUAGCAUCCUGAUGUACCGUUUCUAGUGGUCAGCGAAAAGUUCAUGUUCUUUUAUUUGUUUAUAGGUGGGCAGGCGGCAAAAAACAGGGGAAAACGCGCAAGGUUCCUAGCAGACGCUCCACCGCGAGGUUCCUUGCUCCUUCUCGGUUGUCGGGAAUCUAUGCUCUUCAACUCUUUUCUUUUACGUGAGAUUUGUUCAUCCUUUUCCCAACACGCGAGACAUCUAGCAUCAAGGUGCAUGUGUCAUGCAAGAAAAUGGACAUAAUCAGAUAAGUAGUGCGUAAGUGAGUUGUGGGGGGGGGGAAGCGAGGGGAAACCCUUUUUCGUAAGUGAGUCAUGCACUUCGAUGGCACCUAGGCAAUAUUUUUUCUCCUCGAUGGCACGUGAAUAGUGCACAUACUCAACGACGGAGCACGGGAUGGUAGCAAUGACAUGGUCAGCCCAUUUUUGGAGAGAGUACGUACUACUAGUAAAUAAGUUUAUGUGUCCCAUCAACUCGCAGAAUGACAAGAAGCUUGAUUAUGCCUUCUCCCUUGCCAACGCGUGCGCGGUGGCUCGUAGCACAAGGAGAAACUUUUGCUUACAAGCGGUGGAUGUGCAGCAGUUCAUUUCGUGUCAGAUUGCCAGAAGCACUACUGUAGAACCAUCGACUUCCGGAAGAGGCGAAGAGCCAAGCGCAAGGUCACCUACUAACCUUAGGCUAGGCGUAGUGGGAGUAACAUAAGUAGGGGUACCUCCUUUUUUAUUCUAGAAACAACCACACGCGAAUAUCAAGGUGCUGGUUACGUAGAACAAAUUUCCUAGAGUCCGUUCUCAGCCCUCCUCUAUCUCUCUUCUCAGCCAGCCAGCAGACGUGCGGAGCCCAUCGUCUGUUUGCUCACAUGCGGUCCCACAUGUCAGUGAAAACACAAGAGGACCCACUGAACCUGCACAUCGUUCACCUCGACGUGUUGGUGAUGAAAAACAUAUCCAAUAAAGAUCUUCGGUGGCCGCUUUUGGAGUUACUCAAGAGUAGUAAGAUUCUUUUUACAGUUUAACCCAAGAUGCACAUCUCGUGGCUUCAACUACCACUCUAUUUUCUUUCAUGACACGACCUGGAUGCUGGAUGUCCCACGUGUCGGCAAAAGGAGGAAGAACCCGACCAAAUCUUCGGUUGUGCUCUCGGAUUAUACUAGUUGUGCUAACUUAAAAAAUUUAUUGUGUACUCCCUUCGUUCCAAAAUACUUGACUUCCAUUUGUCCAAAAAUGGAUGUACCUAUAUACUAAAACAUGUCUGGAUACAUAUAUAUUUUGACAAAUAGAAGGCAUGUAUUGUGCAACGAAGGGAGUAGAAUGGAUGCAAGUCUUGGUAUUGGGAAGAAGAGUACAUCCAUAUAUUGAUAGAGCGCAAUUUAGUAGAUGUUCUAGCACUUUUAGCUAGCAUAGAGGCUAGAGAUGAGACUAGUGCACUUGUUGAUACUCCUACUAGAAUAGAGGCUAGACAUGAGACUAGAUGCGAGGAAGCAACAUCUACUUCUUUACACUCGAAGAAGAAAGAAGCACGCAAGAUCGAGCCUCCGCAGAUCAACAAUGAAUGCAUCAAGAAGGCACUAAUCCAACUUACAGGAGUAGUAAAAUGUAUUCUUCUGGUUCUUGUUUUUUUUGGUCUUGCUUGUCUAGUCAAAAUUAUCGUUGGAGUUUGUGCAAAACGGAGGUCCGUUUGGGGUCGUGCGUUGGAGUUGGCCUUACAAGUGGGACCAUAGUUGAGGAAACCGACUAUCGACAAACCCCCACCUUGCCCGUCGCGCGAUGGCUGAAGUUAGAGAGAUGACGAGGUUGAAGAGAUUGCUCUAGCACGGACUCCAAGAAAUAAUAUGGUGUCAGAUGGAUGUCGUGGUGGUGGCGUGUGUCGUACUCCUGGACGUGAAUGCUUGUUCUGGCCCAUGCCACCCUACUACUCCUACUACUUACUAUAUACUACUAGUAUCGAGGAUUCGAGGUGCUGGUUACAUACAGCGAACACAUAUUAACAUAUGGCUACAGUAAAAACACCCGCCCGACGCGCGAAGCAUGUGAAGCUAGUACAAAUAGUGUACUACUAUUGUUGAUUGGCCUCAUCCGAUAACCUGUUGCAAUGCAUGUACAAUUAUGUAUUCGGAAAAUAUUUUUUUGCCUCGUCGCACCACUCACUCAGAGAAGCGACUUGAAAGCCAUUCAUAAAUUUAGUAAGUUUAUCACAGGCAUAUCAUUUUAUUACAUACAACAGGUCAUCAACCCACAUCGACAAUGAGGAUACAUUAUAAAUACUAAAGUUUUCACCACACAACAAAUAACUAGCAAUGAAAUGAACUUCAACUCAACCAUUCCUCGGUGUUGGAAACGCUUGCUUUGAUCCAAAAGUGAUUCUCUGGGACGGGCCAUCUAUUGUCGAUCUCGAGACCAAUGCAGGACUGAUCAUCCAGGCUGAAGUGGCCUACUAUAUCAGUACCAGGGUAGGGAACCACUGAAAUAUCCGAGGUAUAGACACAGUUUCUCCUCAUAAAUGGUACUAGUAACAUUGUGUCAACAGCAGUUGGAUCGCCUUUCACCAUCAUCAGAUAGUUUUGUCCAAGGAAGAGCGAGUUUUCUCCAAGACUAUCAAUUCUGUACCAGGGAGAAGGUGUUGGCUCCAGCACACUAGUAUCCAUCCCGAAUACCAUGCAACGGGUGUUGGAAUAGGUCCGGAGAGUGCGACCAUGGGAGACAACACGUGCUCCCUCGGUAGUAACAAACUCAGUGCGUUGUAUACACACAAGAAGAGGUGAUCCAUCAGAAUUAGUUGCCAGGCGCCAUUGAGUAUAUACGUUCUGCUCGUCCUCAUGCUCGUGAUCAUCACCAUCGUAAUCUCCCCCUUGGUUAUAAAAUUUUUCAAGUAUAGGUGGUGGAAUCUUCACAGGACCUUGGAAACACAAGAAGAAGGUUAAUUAGUAAAGGGAAACUUGCUAACCCGCAUGCAUGUGGAUGAAACAAUUAUAAUUACGGUGGAAGACGAACGUACUGAAAGUAUAAGGAUUCCAUGCAAAAACAGUGCCACGAGUGGUGGCAGCAAACACAAGGCCCUCGUAUUGAAUUACAUCACAGUACACAUCCGUGUAUAGAAACUGAUUUUUGAGCAAUAUCCAUCCAGUCGAACCACGAAGGACGGCAACAAGCUUGUCGAAGAUAGCAACAACUUCAUAGUUGUUUGUAAUUCCAAGAGCCGUUGGGAACUCGACAAAUUGCUAUCUUCCAUAGAAGACAAUCACCAUGAUCGUAUUUGAACGUGCGUACAAUACCCGUGUGCUCAACCUCUGGGCAGUCUGCUGAGAUUUUUGGAAGUGAAACCCGGUCACGAGUGUACACAUUCACAAGUUCCCACUCGCAGUUGGACCCAAUGUAAAAAACCCAAUCUCCAUUUGCGCCUGCCCAAUCCUUGCCCUCAAGCGAUAGCAUCUUAACAUCAUGUGUAUCAUUAUCAAGCGGCAUCAACUUGCAGAAGGCGAGGCCUCCAUCGUCCCCAUGCCAGUAGUCAUCAGGGUCACGACGAAGAAGAUAGGGGAGAUCAAACCGCUCCUUGACUCUUGGGUUCCUUGUAAUGAUGUUAUUAGUUGAGACAAGAAUGGGCUUGAAUGAACCUGCAAUGCUAGCCCAGGUGAUGACGUCACACCGAUCAAUGAGUUCCUCCACCGAGUCAUCUUUCAGAUUAGGGAAAGAAUAACGGGGUCAUUUCCGGCUUGUUCCCUCCAUGGAGAAGACGAGCGAACAAUGGCAGAAGAAAGGGUGAAGGGCUGAAGGAAAAUGGAGGAGGAAGAGGAAGAGUGUACGACAGCAGUUCCAAAUCGAGAGGGAAAGGCGAAGAGUCGGUGGACAGUUGUCAGUUUGCCACGGUUCAUGAAGAGGCGCCCCGGCCUACACGUCUGUUCAGAAAUACUACUACUCGUCGUCGUCUCACUAAUAUGUUGGAACGGGACCACAUGUCAACGAAACAUGGUGUGUAAUUUCUCGUGCAAAAUGCGGUAUGGCCGCGUUGGCCCGAGGUGCCGCACUAGUUUUUUUUGAAAGUUUGCCGCAUUAGUUAUCGAGCUUUAUUUUUUUAACAUGCAGUCCGAAUGGAUAGCUCCUGUGGUCAUUACACGUGAGAGGAUAUAGUGAUGGUUGAUUCACUCGAGCAACUUAUUACUGUGGGAAUAUGGGAGUAGCAGCAGAUUCAAGGAACAGAGAAAUGAUGGUUGCUUCAUCCGAGCAACUUACUGUGGCGAAGGUGGGGCUCUGUGAUUUGACUGCUCACUAGUCAUUACUACUGCGGUGCAACGACCGGGGUGAAUCUUUCCCUCAAGUUGUGUUGUGCACUCAAUAUUGCUGCAUGGCAGGUGGAGCCGGAUGAAGGAUGUCCAACAUGUCGGCGAAACAAAGUUGAAUUGUUUCUGGCAUUGCUAUCAAUCCUUCAGGAUUUGUUUAUAUGUACGCAUAAUUUUGAUGAAAUUGUACUGUGAUGCUAUGAAGGUUUCAACUUUGGUUCCCGCGGGAAAAAAGGUUUCAACUUAGGAUUCAUGUGUCUUGCCUCGAGAUUAUCUCGUUACAACAUUCCAUCAAAUACAAAUGAAACUACCAUGGCUAAUGCAUCUCAAUGGUUCGCAGAUCAGCGCCAAUAUUCACAUCACAACUAAAGGCAAAGUUGUGAGAAGGUGUACAAAUAAAGAAAAAUAAUAAUUGAUUGUUGUUGUUCGUAGGCAUGGCUCCAUUUCCUUGGCAUAGUGUUCAUUGCUUGGCAGCUAGUUUCACCCAGCUCUCUAGCAAAAAAAGAGGUGUAUGAAGGACACCACAAUCCGAUCAUUUUGUGCAGCUCCACUAAAAUCGAGCGGACCAUCCCUGUUUGCAAAGAUAUCCAGUCAGUGUGAUUACAAUAAUAGUGGAACUAGAUGAUGAAACAUAACACACAUAAAUAGAAGCCGAUCACCUCUACGAUCUCUCUUUAGGACUAAAUUCUUGUUGGAGAAGCUUAGGCACGGAGUUGGAUGAGGAGGAUAGCAAAACCAAUCUCCCUUUCCGCAGUCCCACAGAAAUGUAAAAAUGUUGCCCGUGUGACAUUUUGGCGGAACUGCACAAAACACUCUUCAGAAAAGUGAUUUGUGCAGUUCACCAAAAGGUCGCAAUAGCAACGAGGAGAAAAUGGAUAGCCCUGUUUGCAAAAGGAGGUCGAAAGGAAACAAUUACUGCCCAAUAACACGAGUUGAAGACACAUACGCCGACAAAAAAGAAGCAUGUUCCAUGUAAUAAGGGAAAGAUAGCACAUGGUGGUUUAUCAAAAAUGGUUUGAGGAGGAGAUUGCAAGAUGGAAAGUACGCCGGUCGAGAUACGAUUUAAGCAAACAACUAAAGAAGAUCCACAUGUAGCAACGUGGGAAGAUGGGCAGUGGAGCAAGGUCGGAGGAAGUUGUACUUGAGGGUCGUCGGGAUGUUACUAGGAGGGUGCCGGCGACCGGGAUCUACCCAUACUGCGGCAGCGAGCAAGUGGCGAAGGCCCUACCGCGUCGGAGCUUGGUCAGAGAGAACGACGGGUACCGCACAUCGGGACGUGCUGCCUCAACGCUGUCGAAUGGAGAGACGAUGCACAUCCUCCCUUUCAGCCGGCGGACGGGAUGCAGCCGGAUCACUGACCAACGCUGAGAGAGAGAGGCCAUGGCAGCCUUGUGUGAGAUGGUGUGAUGAGAGACAAACCCAUUUUUCCAUUUUCCCCACGGCAAUCGUUUUAUAUUCUGUACGUGCCAUUGAGGAAUAUAUAACUUUAUUUAAUGCUAACGUGUCAAGUCGAACUUUAUUCCGUCUAGGCGUGGUACCCGACCCUCCUUCGAGUAAACAACCGCUACACGCGUCAAAUUAUCACGUGGGCUGCCUUUUCGUACAGAAACGAACUCCACCGUGUACCCGCACGGGUGUGGCCGGGAACGAGAUGUGAGUACGUGUGUCCCGCGUGCACUUCUCCUUUAGGUGCAGGUACAUACGUGGGUGGGUGUGAGAGAGAUGGUUUGUGCAAAACAGAGGCAAUGUGUUGAUGAUAUCUCAAUCAGAAAAACGUAACAUAUGCAAUGUGUGUGAAACAGAGUCAUGGACGUGAGAUAUCGAUAGAAUUGAAAACAAGGAUGAAGUGUGUGGCUGCGCGAUCGAUAAAGAGUGCCAUCGAAUUUGUCUUUGCCCAUGUCAAAGAUACAGGGCGGCUGGCCUACUGGAAUUUGAGAGGGCAGAGGUGCAGUUUUUCUCCAUGGCAUGGAUACCUACCUACAAUGUUCGACUAUCGGUGUGUGGGGGGGGGAGGGGGUAGAGACCGAUCGACUAGUAUAUGUGUGGGGAAGGAGAGAGACCUAGCUAUGUAUUGAGGGAUAUCGAUCGACAUCCAUGGAUAUGUGUAGCAGAGAAAUAAGGUUGGGAAAAAGACAAAGGUAGAGCGUCGGAGGGUUGGUGGUGGAGUGGCGUCUCACAAAUGGUGGGAGAGGCCUGCUAGACAAACAGAGGGUAUGAGUGCAAUAUCAAUAAGAGAAAGCGGGGGAUGUCCGUCUGUCUAUGCACGUGCGUGUGAGAGACGGGUCGGGAGGUAUUCAAGGAUGAUGAGGGGAGAAGAUAUGGUUGUGGUAAGCAUACGUAACUACACAGGAAGAUCAACCGUCGUGUGUCCGAGAAAAGGAGAGACAUAACUAGCGAGGUAAGCGUAUCGGGGCUUGGUAAAAACGAAUUAUAGUCGACCUGGCUAUAUGUAGGGAGAUCAGUUCAUAUACACGUCUGCAUGUGUUAGAAGCAAAUAAGGUUCGGAGAGGCAGACAUGGGGAGAGGGUGUAGCUUGGAGGUGGUGCGAGAGGCCUACCAUGUCGAGGGGGAGGAGUGUGCGAGUAUGUGAUCAAUGAAAAGAGGGGCGGGAGUGUGCACAUGCGUGGAAUCGUAUUGGACAUAGGGGGCAUGGACGGUGAGAAGAGAAGAGGGGAAGUAUAUAUGUGUUUGUUGUAGGCACACUUGGCUAGAGAGGUAUAUCGACUGGUGUGUGCCGGAAAGAAGGAGCCGGGGGCCUACACACACCGCUGGUAGACGACCUAAAGAGAAAUAAUGAACGUGCGCGAUGGAGGGGACGCUAAGGGUGUGUGAGAGGGGGCCGGGCGUGUGCAUGCACGAUAGAAAUUUAGCGCUAGCUAUCUACAAAUAGAAGAGGAUCGUGAAGGUGUAAAAGACGAACAAAGAUCAUAAUUCAUUAUAAAAAAGUGGACACAGAUACUUGAAGAAGAUAUCGUAAUGUAGAACAUUGAUUAUAAUUUGGGCUAAUGCGUGGCUUUUGCAACUCGGGUCUAAAUACUUGUCACAAUGUAGGGGGCGGGGCACUAUACUUUGUGUGAUAAACACGGUGUACGUAUGGAACAUGGUUUAGAUUAUGAAUAUAUAUUUAGUACAUCAAAUGUACUAUUAUUUGGAAUCAACAUCAAGUGUAUUCAAAAAAUAGAAUUAGAGUUCAUGUAGUACACAUAGUUCAUAUCUAUCUCUAUAGUAAUCAUGUGGUGUGUUAUUAAGGUAAUACACGAAUGAUGGUUGAAGUUGGCAACAAUCAUGAUUGUAUAUUCUUAUUGAAAUAGAGAAAUGAAUUCGAAUUUAGUUCGAAUUGCAGCGGUAGUAUAGACAUUUGGAAUGCACUAAAAUGUUGGUAUGAGUAGGUUACAUGCAUUAUACAGCAAGCGGAAAAAUUUAAUCGGACAUAACAUGGAUUCAUACUCCCUCCUUCCAUCUAUAUAAGGCGUAAUGAGAUUUUUAAGACCGCCUUUGACUAUUGACAAGAUUAAUAGUACAUGACAUGCACAAUGUGAAAAUUAUAUCAUUGAAAGAACCUUUCAUAGAUGAAUUUAACGGUGUGCUUUGUGUAAGCUCAUGUCAUAUAUCAUUGCUCUAAUAUUUGGUCAAAGUUAGCAUUGAAAAACGCAUUAGGCCCUAUAUAGAUGGAAGGAGGGAGUAGCUUUGAAUAGCAUUUGUAUAGUAAAAUGGGGCAAGACUCUCUCUUUGUGUGGUGUGAAUAGUUUUAUUUUUUCGUUUUCUUUUUGGUUGAGGGAAGUGCAAAUUGAUUUGGUACGUACAAGUACAAUAUUACUACACGUUAGGCUUGUCCCUAAAAUUCAACUUGCGUCUUGUUAUAUCCCGAAAAUUCAGAUAUCGUGCUCCCAAAACUGGCGCCUUCACAACCCGCGCCUUGCUAUCCCGAAAUUACAACGUGCGCGAAAACUCCCUCUAGCUGCCAAAUCCCGACACGUGAAAUCCCCCUUCUAACCCUGAGCCGAAAGGGCCGCUAGUUCAAAUUGGUGGGGGGAACUUUUGUAACACACCCUACAUUUUGGACAAGCGCGUCCCUAAGUCAUGCUUCACCCCCUCCCAUUGCCCCCUUUUCGCCAUUCGAAAUCCCAGGCCGCCAUAACCUCUCCGCUCCAGCCGUGAAACCCCACCCUCCUCCGUUCGACACGUCAUCGCUACCCAGCCGGAGCCUCUUCCCCGACGAUGUCGUCCACCGCAAUAGCUCGACGUCCCUCAUCCACCUCCCCGGAUGAGGAUCCGUCAUCCAUCUCGCCGUCCCGCCGGUUCAACCGCCCCAUCCUCCACCUCCAAGGAGCUGCUCUGACGAUUGCCUCGUCUAUCACGGCUGCUCCAUCCCCACAGCGCCGCCUUAACCUACUCUACCGGAACCGCAACAUCCUCACCGACUCCUCGGACGAAGCCAAGGCCUACUCGGCGCCACCAAAGAGGUUGUACACUCAUCGCAUCGCACCUUCUCCUUAACUCGACCUCCCGGCACCGACGGUGCUCCAUCCCGCACCCCCAUGGAGCGACUACCUUGAAGCCGGCGCCAUGGGCAACAUCUCCAAGGUGGCUCUCCCCCAGUGUGAGGCCCCUUCGGAGGCGGCGGCCAUACUAGUCGGAUCUGCUGCUGCUGCUCCAGCUCUCGCUCGCUCGCUCGCGCUGCUGCUGCUGCUCUCGCUCUCGCUCGAUCGCUCGCUCGCCCAGCUGCUGCUACUCUCCCCCUCGCUCGUACUGCUGCUCUGCUCCUAUUUAGCCACACUUCAAUCGACUGAAUCGAAUUUUGGGUCAGUCGAUUUUCAGGGGUGGGGGGGGCUCGCCGGAGUUAAGGAAGAACCACCCGCAGCGGGGACGGGGGCUCGCCGGAGAGGUACCCCGCUAUCUAUCUUAGGGUCUAGGGUGGGGGUGGGGGGCCUAGAGGGCUGGCUGGGGCAGCGAUGGGAAGUUGUUUCGAGGCGGCGAGGCGGUGCUGGGGCCGACAGUUCGGCCGGUGGUGGCUGGCGGCUCAAGGGGGUGCAGGUUGAAGAUGAACUCCAGGCCCUCCCUAAACUACAUGUCAAGCGCCUCUCUGCUACCAUUGCGUUCAGUUUCGACAGUAGCAUUCAGAUUCCACAGUAAAUUUCAGUUUCCACAGUUAAGUUCAGAGUCAACAGUUUUUACCUCAUAUGUUGUAGUCAGGUAGUUUUUGGUGAUGUUAAUUUUAUAUCCAUUUUACAUCAUCUAUUGGAGAUGCUAUUAGAAUCCCACUUGAGAUUGACGAUGUCUAUCUUGUGCUACUUCAGCCUUGACGUCUUACGGCUCACCAGAGCUGCUCCAAUGACAGAACGAUCCAUCACAACAGAGCAGUGCCCUGGACGCCAUCUACAGAUUCCUCAGAUCUUCCUCCACACCUCCGACAGCCACCUCUGCCUCAACUGCUUCAAUGACCAACCCAAUGAUGUUGAGGUCGACACGGCUACGGCAAAGAUGUUGUACACUUGUUGCAUCACUUAUUACUAUACAUUCACGUUGAUCCAUUAGGGCUAUUUUGGUUCAACGGAAAAACAUAGCAAUAGGGAAUUUUUCAAUGGCACUCUACUAUUCAAUUAUUCAUGCAUUUUGUUGAAAGGAAUGAAGCAAAACAUCCACCUGGACCUACUUUUCAAAAUCCUAUGAAUGAAAACAAGACCAAGUGCAUUAGUACCAGAAUAACAUUCUAACUGUACACGCUUUCUUAUGGUUUCACUUUAUUUUGGCCAUGUUUAUUUGCACUCCUCUGCUCUUCCAAUUCCUGUAAACCAAACACCCAAGUUGACAAAAAUCUUGUGUUUACAAAUGCUCUAUUUACCAUGUGCAUUUUCCUAUCCUAUUCCGGUGUUUUCCUAUCCCUGCGUUUUAAGACUCAUGCAAGCCAAAUGAGCCCUUACAGAAUUACUUCAGUUACAGGUACGUGUCGAAGGGAACUUUGUGUGGUUUGUCCUGCUCCUUCCGCGACGUUGUCCACCUCACUUGAGCUACUCCAUCGACAGAAGUAUCCACCAAACCAGACAUCACGACUCCUGAUCGUCUUUCGCUGCCUCAGAUCUCCUUCACUGCUGCUGACACCCACCGCAACGGCAUCACCAUCAUCGGCUCAGCAGAUGAACCUAAGGAGUACACGGGUCCACAAGAGAGGUCGCACUCUUUUGUUUCUGCUUAUGUUAUGCAUUUCUUAAACUUACAUACUACCUUAUUGUCCUGUUCAGCUGUUGGACUCCCAAUUCAGGUCCAAAUUAAUGUUCAAACUUGAGUUCUAAAUUAGUUGUGGGGCACAUAUCGAGGCAGCAAUGAAUAGUAUGUCUGUCUAAUAUCCGGUUCACCUAGUGUCGUGGAAAUAUCACGUCAGAUGUCCUCGUGAAAGGACUUAGUCGUGGAGCCAUCGCGACGGGUUAGCUUAAAGGGGUUAAACCAGACAAAGGACACGAGGGAUUUUAUACUAGUUCAGCCCCUUCGAUGAAGGUAAAGGCUUACGUCUAGUUGUGAUGGGAUUAUUGGGGUCUCGAUAACCAGGGAGCUAAACACGCUAUGCCUGGCUCUCGAGUUGUUGUUUCUUGUCCCUGAACCGCCGCCGGGUCGUCCCCUUAUAUACACGGGUUGAUGCCCGGCCGGUUUACAGAGUCCCGAGGCCGACUCAUACAAGUGUCCGGCUCGGUCUCUCCUUUCCUUAUCUUACAAUACAAGUUACAUGACUAUGGCGGUUUACCACUAUGGGCCCUAAUCCGCCUUUGGGCUCCUGGCCUCUAAGCUUCAUAGUAAAGCGCCAUCUUCUGGGUCUUCGUGGGCUUCAAUAUAGUUGAGUGUGAACCGGCCCCUCCUAGGAGGUUUACACUCAGUAGUUAUAUCCCCAACAUUAGGCCCAAGAUUGAUUUGAACCUGUUCAUGUCAAUCUUCAAUACUUAGCAAAAUCAUGUGAACAUCUUCCUUCAUUUCUUGUAAACCGCCACGAUGUCUUCUUUUAUAAACUUUGUUAAACCGCCGUGACGUCAUCCUCUGGACACAGCAACGGAUCAUCAUGACGUCAUCUCUGUAAAAAAACAAUAAAAAGAUUCCCUUCAUUUAAUGGCAUCCCGAAAAUCGAGGUAACAGCUACGCCCCUUGCCGCUUUGGACUCCUCGAUUCUCGCACCUGUCGCUUAUCUUCUGCCUCAUUAUAAAUAAACCCGAAGGGUCCUUCCAUUUUCUCCCCUUUCUUAUCGUCUUCCUCCUCGCGACCCGAAGAGCCCGAGCACCACUGCCGCCAUCGACCUUUAAUCUGCACCGACCAAGGCUGCUGCAUCACCCUGUUCGUACCAGAAACUCUACGACACUCCUCCGUCACCGAGUGACCCUGGUAAGUUCUCUUUCCUAUAACCCUAGAUCUCCAUAGGGCUUUGAGUUCAUCCGUGUUCAUCGCCGUUCAUCAGUGCUUCUCUGCCCUUCUCUUCGCCUUUUUACUGAGUUUAUAUGCACCUGAUAGUUUUGAUCUACGGCUAGAUCCAUAGUGUUAGUUCACCAUACCAUAGCGUCUUGCUAUUCCUAGACAGACUCCAUCUGGAUUUUCCCUAUUACUCUUAGCGCCAUUUAGGGCUCAGGAAAGUUUUCUUUAUUUAACCACGGUAGAUCCAAAAUUUUACUGCCAUCUUGUGAAACCUGUUUCUAUAAACACUUAGAUAUUCAGCUCCGCCUCUUUUAUUUAAGGGCGGUUUAACUUUCAGUAGUAUUCCAUCCGCCAUACGCCAUUAGCCCUCACUUAAACUGCCAGCUUUGACUUGAACAGCAAAUUUCCGGUUUAACACUGAUUAGUACACUUAAACCGUCAAUCAUAAACCGGCCUUCAUUUUUCCUUUACAGUUUGCUUUCCAAGAUGACCAAACAAUUCUCUGCUUGCACUUGGGUUCCAUCCCGGUUCACGGAGACACAAAUCAAUGGAUACGUUACCACUGGCGCUUUAGCUUCAAAAAGGGUCCUGCAUUGGCGAGUCCCGGGCCCUGAGUGCCCUCCUGAGCCUCAAGAUGGAGAGGUGAUUGUAUUUAUGAAACACUUGGACCGGGGGUUCAGCCCGCCUGGAUCAAAAAAUUUCUGAGAUGUCCUUGCGAGCCUUCAACUCCAUCCACAAGAUAUUGGACCGAAUUCCGUGUCCAAUAUAUGCAAUUUUCAAGUGUUCUGUGAAGUUUACCUUCAAGAAGAACCAUCUGUGGAGCUUUUUCGGGAUUUUUUCCAUUUAAACCGCCGCACGGAGUUCUCUGAUGGUCCCAACACAGAACUUGGUGGGGUAUCAAUCCAGAAGAGAAAAUAAGUUGAUUUUCCUCAUGCAAAACACCACAGCCAUCCUAAAGAUUGGAACCAAACUUGGUUUUAUUGCCGGAAUACUGCCCCUGCUAGAGAAAAUCCUCUGCCGGGUUACGGCCCUUACCGGCUUAGCAACGGCCACCCGUUACCUCUACGCUUAACUGCCUCAGAACAGAAAACUUAUGCACCUCAAAUCACCAAGCUCCGGGCUCUCUUGGCCAAUGGUCUGACUGGUAUUGAUCUCGUCCGCUGCUGGGUUUCUUGGGGUAUUCUGCCUUUAAGUCGCCGCCCCGGAUUGAUGCAUAAAUAUACUGGUAACAUCAAGGAUCCUCAACGAUAUCAGGAAAUAGAAAUGACGGAUCUUGAAAUCGUUGAAUCUGUGAAGAAGAUGCUUGAUGAACCGACCGCCGCAUGCAGCCAAAUCGGGUUGCCUCCUUUUUGCGCCACCAACAAACCACCAGCGGUAAAGUUUAACUUAAUGCUCACUGAUUCGCCUCUGCUUUAACAAUGUGCUAAUGCUCAUUUGUUUUAAUUUUGCAGGCCAACAACUCCUUCUGGAAAUGGACUAAACCGGCUAGGGCUCCUCGUGCAAAGAGCAAGGUCACCAAGAAAGCUGGCAAGAAGAAAACCACCGAGUCUUCUGAUCCGCUGGAAGACAUUGACGAAUCAGAUCCAGAGGUAGAACUUGAUUCACUUGGUUCCUUUUUCAUACACCUUAUUGACAAUGAAUAUUCCUAGGAUGAUGCGGCAGCCAGUCGUGCAGACCAUGUUGAGGUAAUCUCUCUUUCUUCCGAUUCAGAUCUUGUGCCGGUUCAAAGAUUUCGCCGUGCAGUUCGGAAAGUAAAAUACUCUCACCCUCUUGCUUAUUUGGAUCCAAAAUUUUCUUUAAAGACACAGCAAGCUGAAGAACGUCGCACAACCCGGCAUAGUGGCCAGCAAAUCACUUCUUCCGGUUUACCGGAUACACCAACCCAGAAACGUCGUCCAGAGGUUACUUGUUAUCCCGAAAAACUUUAUCCUUUGAAGGGUUUCUUCAAAUACCCACUUAAUCCGUCUGAUCCGAAUUACCAGGCGUCUUCCAAUUCGUCUGGCGGUUCAUCAACCACUCAGCUGCCUCCCCUUAAAACCGUCCCUAGGUAAGUAUAUUGUCCUUCAUGUUUUUCCUUCACAGUUCAGUCUACCGUGCUAAUCUUUGUUUUGAUGUCACAGUGCCAAAGCCCGCUUGAGAAAGAAGGAUAAAACUAGUACCCCUAUUGGUGAAGUUGAACGAAGAGGACUACUGAGGAGACCGGUAGAAAUACCGAUGCUAUGGAUGAUUCCACCCCACAAGGUGAGAACACUCAAGCUAAUCCACCGAAAGCUGACCCGGCCAUUUAUAUUGAUCCGUCGAGCCCUCAUGCUACUCCUCCAAGCCCAACUGUUGAUCCGCCGAGCCCAGCUGCUAAUCUGCCAAGCCCAGCCAGGGGUACCAUCAAUCCUCCAAGUCCACCAAAAGGAGAUGAUGAUGAUGUUGUCAUUACUGGCACGGCUCACACCAGUCCUGGUAAUCCGGUUGUCUUGGCCAAACAUACUGCCAAGGAGGAAUUCACUGCUAUGGGAAAGGGGAAAGGGAAGACAGAUUUAUCCAACUUCAUCAACCUUAGCACCGAGGAACUUCAUUCCGGUUUUUUAAACCGCCUUUACACCAGCCGUGAUUUUGAAGCCGGUUUGGUGAACCUGAUGAAGGAGCGUUAUGAGGUACUCUUCAUGAACACUUUGAAACUUACUCUAUUCUGUAUAUCUUUUCCAUUAUAGCCCCCAAGGGCCGGUUUAUCUCUUGAAGAUAAACUGGGACUUCAAUAUAAAGAAUAUUUCAACGUAGUAGCCCCCAAGGGACGGUUUGUCUUCUUGAAGACAAACCGGGACUGUCUGUCCUUGUUAAUUGCCUUAUGACUGAUCACUUGUGCAUUAGCCCCCAAGUGCCAAGCUUAAUACCUGGAUUGAGCCUUGGGACUUGAAAAAUACUCACUUUAAAAAGCAAUCCACAUUAGCCCCCAAGUGCCAAGUGUAUAACCUGUUAUGUGCUUGGGACUUUAAGAGAUUUUAACUGUUGUACCCUCUGACUUUGCAGGAUGAUAUAAAGACCAAAGAGUCCCAAACCGCUGAUCUUCAAGAAAUCAUUAAGUCCCAGCAAGAAGAGACCUCUAAAGCCAAAGAGGGUCUUAAGAACGCUUUGACUGACAUGGAACAGCUGAAAGAGAGUUUCAAAACUGAGCGCGCCAAUUGGGAAACGGAAAGAGCUGCUUUGUUGAAACGGGCUGAAGACGCCAAAGCAGCCCUUAAACCGGUGGAGGAGGAGCUGACGGGUCUGAAACAUCAAGUGAAUUCCAUGACAGCUGCAGUUUUUGGUAACUAUUUUAUAAUAACUUGCUUCUGCAGUACUAUCAACUUCCGCCGGUUUAACAUUGAAUUCUUAAACUGUCGCAGGCAAUCGCAUUGCUCAUCUUGGAGCGGAUAUGAGGAUGAAAUUAAAGGCAGCUUAUACGUUGAUUGAGCAGUUGUAUACUGGUGCACAAUGGGUUAUCUCUGCUGCUUCAUAUAACAGACCGGCCCCCACCUUGAUCAAGGAUACCUUGGCCAGGCUCUCAAUGACUCCUGCUGAGAUAGAGCAGGUGAAGCGAUCAGCUGCUAGGGCAGGCGCUUUACUGGCACUGACUUGGGCUAAAGCAUGGAUAUCUGACUUGGAUCCAGUUGAUAUCGCCAAGGGAUUUCCGGAUGAACAAGCAGACGGAUCAGCAUUUGAUAAUGAAACCCUCAAAGCUCUGACAAAGGAGAUGCGUCCGCUAUCCAGUAAACUUGUUGUAGAGGCUAACCUGACGGUUCAUCGGUCUUUUUAUGAUGAAAGGAAUCAGCAGGUUGAUACAACUGUGACAGAAGCACAAAACCUUAUCCCGCCAAUUCGUAAGCACACUUACGCCCCUGAUGUUGACCCGUCCAAUCUGAUAAGUGAAGAAGCUGUCUUUCAGGCUCUAACCCGGAUUGACUGGACCACCCUUGACUUCCAGCCUCUUGGUGGAGAGGAGGAGGUUGAACCGGCGCCUGAAGAUCCUUCAAAUUCACGUCGUCCUGGCAAUGAGUCUUAAUCCGGCAUUCGUGUUUCUUUGACAAACUUUGUUGUGUAAGAACAAUCAGCAUUUUGGGCCUCAAAGCGCCUUGUAAUAGGCUAGUUAAAACUCUUUGAUCUGUUGCGCUGAUGCAAAACUUUGUUGAACCGCCAUGAUACAUGCGAUGUUUGAUUAUAUUUUGACAAUGUCAUGCGAUCCGGAAGCCUGCAUAUAGAAAAUUUGUCCUGGCGGUUUACCGCCGGACGGGUCAUAAUGCCCAGGAUAAAGCCUCAUUGAUAAUCACACCUUAAUAAAUAUGAAAUAACUCAUACCUGUGAUGUGACAUCACUUAGUUGGUUUACCAACUUUGAUUGUAAUAAGGGUGAAGACCCAAAUCUUGUGUUUGUAUAACUCCCACCAUAUAAUGAUGUCGUAUAAUAAGUAAUGUCGAGUUACAAUGAACACCAGAUGAUCAAAACUGGUGACAUGUAGUCAAAGCCAGGCCGGGUUAACAAACUCCGGUUUGAUAUAAGGUCUGUCAACUUGUAGUUGAAAACCAAGCCGGGUUAACAAACACCGGGUUUAAUAUGAUGACUGAAAAGCCAUACCGGAUCAAAGAUACCGUUUCAACAUAGAAUUUUUCAAAAGAAAAUAAAUAUUGACAAAGGCAAAUAAAACCGUGUAGUCGAGGCUUUUCGAGGGCUGCCAGGCCGCUGAGUUAAACCAUUUGACAAAGCCUUUUAAGAUGGGCCUCCAACUAACCAAUCACCUUUUUAACUUUGACAAGUUCAGGGUCUCAAUGAGAGUAACUGUCAAACAUUCGGCGGGUCAUGCCGGGAUUACCUGGAUAGGAGUGGCUUACUUGAUGAAGGCAGGUUAACCCGGGGUUUUAGGUAAAUAUACCAGGCUUCCAAGCCGUGGGUCGAUACCCAGCUACAAGGGUCCUUUCAAACUCUUUGUUACUUUACACAAAGAGCCCCCAAGUAACUUGAUGAGUUAUGCUCAUUGGGUGCCUAUGUUUGAGUUGUGCAUAGCAUCCAGACUCUCUUUGGCCCCUUGGGUGUGAAGCUCCCAGGCUGUAUUGUGGCAUGAUAGCCAGUUUAACAGGUAGUACUCCGCUUUGUCAGCUGAAGCCCCCAUGUAACUCAAAGGUUAUUUGAGAAAAAAACAGCAGAGGCCCUGCUUAUAGCAAGGAUGCUGGUUUAUUUUAUUGAUCAUAAUAUAUACAUUGUCGAAAUAUGUACAUAAGAGAAGCCUAUGGCUCAAGUGUAGUAAGGCCGUAGGAGAGCUAUGUUCCACAGCCGCCAGGUCUCCUCCUCAGAACUGCAUGAGUUGUCUCGAACGUCAAUGAGGUAGUAUGACCCGUUGUGCAGAUUCUUGCUGACCACAAAGGGUCCUUUCCAAGGUGGGGAUAACUUGUGCAUAUCGGUCUGAUCCUGGAUGAGCCGAAGCACCAAGUCACCUUCUUGAAAGGUUCUUGUCUUAACCCAGCGGCUGUGAUAACGCCGCAGGUCUUGCUGAUAAACCGCCGAAUGAGCCAAAGCCAUAUCCCGUUUUUCAUCUAACAGGUCCAACGCCUCCUGGCGUGCUUGCUCAUUGUCCGCUUCAACAUAAUUGGACACCCGGGGCAAAUCAUGACUAAUAUCACUUGGGAGGACCGCCUCUGCCCCAUACACCAUGAAGAAAGGUGUGUAACCCGUCGAUCUGUUGGGGGUGGUGUUGAUACUCCAUAACACAAAAGGAAAUUCUUCCACCCAACAGCCCGGCAUCCGCUUUAAAGGAACCAUGAGGCGGGGUUUGAUACCCUUAAAGAUUUCUUGAUUAGCUCUCUCCGCUUGACCAUUGGACUGGGGGUGCACCACAGAUGCUAAGUCAAACCGGAUGUGCUCUCUCUGACAAAAAUCCUCCAUCUCACCUUUAGAAAGGUUUGUACCAUUAUCCGUGAUAAUGUUGUGUGGAAAGCCAAAGCGGAAGAUGAUCUUCUUGAGAAAUUGAACCGCCGUAGCCGCAUCACACUUGGUGACAGCUUCCGCUUCAACCCAUUUGGUGAACUUGUCAACCACCAGCAGCAGGUGGGUCUUCUUAUCCUUGGAACACUUAAAGGGUCCCACCAUAUCAAGCCCCCAAGUGGCAAAUGGCCAAGUGAUGGGAAUCAUCCUUAAUUCUUGAGCCGGAACAUGAGCUCUGCGUGAAAACUUUUGACAAGCAUCACACUGCUUUACCAGAUCCUCCGCAUCAGCAUGAGCUGUCAACCAGUAGAACCCAUGACGAAAAGCCUUAGCAACCAGGGACUUUGAACCGGCAUGAUGGCCACAAUCCACUUUAUGAAUUUCCCGUAGGAUCUCUUGGCCUUCUUCCGGAGAAACACAACACUGAAAUACGCCUGAAAUGCUACAGCAGUGUAACUCGCCAUUGUGAAUGACCAUGGACUUGGAUCGCCGGACUAUCUGCCGGGCCAGGAAUUCAUCAUCUGGUAACUUGCCUCGGUUCAUAUAUGCCAGAUAUGGAACCGUCCAAUCCGGCACAACAUGUAAAGCGGCCACCAAUUGGGCCUCCGGAUUAGGAACAGCUAAAUCCUCCUCUGUAGGCAACUUAACACACGGGUUACGCAAGAUAUCUAAAAAGGUAUUGGGAGGUACCGGUUUACGCUGAGAUCCCAGCCAGCUUAAAGCGUCUACUGCUUCAUUUUUGCGCCGAUCGAUAUGUUCAACCUGAUACCCUUUGAAGUGACCCGCCACAAUAUCCACCUCACGUCUGUAAGCCGCCAUGAGUGGAUCCUUAGAAUCCCAAGUGCCAGAGACUUGUUGAGCCACCAGACCAGAGUCUCCAAAGCAUCGUACCCGGCUUAAAUUCAUCUCCUUGGCCACACGGAGCCCAUGGAGCAAAGCCUCGUACUCAGCUGCAUUGUUAGUAUAGGGGAACAUUAAACGGAGGACAUAACGAAUUUUAUCACCUCGAGGGGAAGUAAGGACAACUCCAGCCCCGAGCCCUCCAAUUGCCUGGAUCCAUCAAAGUGAAUAGUCCAGUAUGUAUUAUCUGGUUUGUCCUCUGGUGCCUGUAACUCGGUCCAAUCAUUGAUAAAGUCAACAAGUGCCUGAGAUUUGAUGGCUGUUCGAGGCACAUAUUUCAAACCAUGUGGACCAAGCUCAAUCGCCCACUUUGCAACCCGGCCAGUUGCCUCCCUGUUCAGAAUUAUAUCACCCAAAGGAGCUGAACUGACAAUUGUAAUGGGAUGGCCUUGAAAGUAUUGUUUGAGAUUCCGACUUGCCAUAAAAACUCCAUAUACCAGCUUCUGCCAAUGCGGAUAUCGCUGUUUUGACUCGAUAAGCACCUCACUGAUAUAGUAAACCAGCCGUUGAACCGGAUAUUCCUUACCAGCCUCCUUGCGCUCCACCAUAAUUGCCACACUGACAGCACGGGCAUUAGCAGCCACGUACAAUAACAAGGGCUCUUUGUCAACCGGGGCAGCAAGGACCGGUGGUUCAGCCAACUGCCGUUUCAAGUCUUCAAAUGCUGCAUUAGCCGCAUCACUCCAAACAAAGGAGUCUGUUUUCUUCAACAUCUGCUAUAGAGGGAUCACCUUCUCUCCCAAGCGGCUAAUAAACCGGCUUAGGGCUGCAAUUCGGCCUGCGAGACGCUGAACAUCAUUGACGCAUGCCGGUUUAGCCAAAGAUGUAAUGGCUUUGUUCUUCUCCGGAUUAGCCUCAAUGCCUCUGUUGCACACCAGAAAACCUAAGAGCUUGCCUGCCGGAACACCGAAAACACAUUUGUUCGGAUUGAGCAUCAUCUUGUAAACACGCAGGUUGUCAAAGGUCUCCUUGAGAUCAUCUAUCAAUGUCUCCUUUUUCCUGGACUUUACCAUAAUGUCAUCAACAUAGGCAUGAACAUUGCACCCAAUUUGAGUGUGAAGACAAUUUUGCACACAGCGCUGAUAAGUUGCCUGGGCACUCUUGAGCCCAAAGGGCAUAGAAACAUAGCAGAAGGCUCCAAAGGGAGUGAUGAAGGCGGUCUUCUCCUGGUCCUUAACUGCCAUUUUGAUUUGAUGAUAGCCUGAAUAAGUAUCCAAGAAACUUAAACGCUCACAACCCGCCGUCGCAUCAAUGAUCUGAUCAAUAUGCGGGAGAGCAAAAGGAUCAGCUGGACAAGCUUUGUUCAAAUCUGUGUAGUCCACACACAUGCGCCAAGUGCCGUUUUUCUUAAGAACAAGCACCGGAUUAGCCAACCACUCAGGGUGAAACACUUCAACGAUAAACCCAGCAGCCAACAGCCAGGCUACCUCUUCACCAAUUGCCUUCCGUCUCUCCUCGUUAAAGCGAUGCAGAAAUUGCUUGACCGGUUUAAACUUGGGAUCAAUAUUGAGAGUGUGCUCAGCGAGUUCCCUCUGUACACCUGGCAUGUCAGAAGGCUUCCAUGCAAAAAUGUCCCGGUUCUCACGGAUGAACUAGAUGAGCGCGCUUUCCUAUUUCGGAUCCAGAUUUGUGUUGAUGCUAAACUGUUUGGAUGAAUCGCCAGGAACAAAGUCAACGAGUUUAGUCUCAUCAGCCGGUUUGAAUGUCAGGUUCAGGUCAUGCUCAGUUGUGGGCUUCUUCAGAGGGGUCAUAUAUGUCGGAUCAACAUUAUCUUUAUAGAACUUCCACUCCUAUGUAGCACAAACUGACUCAGCAUAGGCUGUGUCUCCUUCUUCGCAAUCCAAAGUGAUCUUCCGACUUCCGUGAACCGUAAUGGUCCCUUUGUGACCCGGCAUCUUGAGCUGCAAGUAAAUAUAACAAGGCCUUGCCAUGAACUUUGCACAAGCCGGUCGCCCAAAUAGUGCGUGGUACGGGCUCUGGAUCCUCACUACUUCAAAGGUCAAUGUCUCAGACCGGGAGUCAUGUUCAUCACCAAACACAACCUCCAAAGCGAUCUUACCAACAGGAUAUGCCGAUUUACCUGGUACCACACCAUGGAAAAUAGUGUUUGGUGGUUUAAGACUCUUGUCUGUCAACCCCAUGCGACGGAAGGUCUCAUAAUACAUAAUGUUGAUACUGCUCCCUCCAUCCAUGAGCACUUUGGUGAACUUAUAACCUCCCACCUGAGGUGCCACCACCAAAGCCAGGUGACCCGGUUGUCAACCCGGGGCGGAUGAUCCUCUCUGCUCCACACAAUAGGUUGCUCGGACCACUGCAGGUAACGUGGUACAGUCGGUUCAACAGUAUUAACAGCCUCUUGUGAAGCUUCUGAUCACGCUUGCACAAACUAGUGGUGAAUACAUGGUACUGCCCACCAUUCAACUGCUUUGGGUGACUCUGAUAACCUGACUGCUGUUGAUUUCCUUGAUUAUUCUGUUGGUUGUUACCACCCUGGUUGUUCUGGUUGCCCUGAUUAUUCUGAAAUCCAGAGCUUGAACUGCUGCCACCAUGAAAACGUGGACCUGAACCGCCCGAUGGACCCUGAUCAUACCGGAAAAGAUCAGAGUUUUUGAACUCCUUCAUAAUGUGACAAUCUUUCCAGAGAUGUCUUGCAGGAACCUCCUUGGCCCAACGCUUUGGGCAGGGCUGAUUCAACAAACGCUCCAGAUUCAUUCCACCGCCACGCUAGGGCGGUUUACCCUUACGACGCUGCACAUUAGCAUUAGCCACAAAAUCUGAAUCUGCUUUGCGCUUACCAUUAUUCCCAUGGCCUCCUUGGUUGUGUUGCUGUCCCUUUGCACCGUCGUUCUUCUUUCCCUUCUCCGGUUUCUCCUCAUCAGAAUCGGGAUCCUUGGUAUUAUCAGAAUCGGCAUAUUUGACCAAGGCGGCCAUAAGGGUGCCCAUGUCAUUGUAGUGGCGCUUGAGCCGUCCCAACUUCAUCUUCAGUGACUUAAACCAGCAAUUACGUUCCAGUGUGAUGAUUGCUUGGCCAGCGUUAAUCCGAUCUGAAGAAUGCAAAACUUCUGAAACCCGGCGCACCCAAUGAGUUGUUGACUCGUUCUCCCCUUCAACACAGGUAUCCAGAUCCACAAUGGACAUAGGCUGUUUACAUGUGUCCUUGAAAUUGGCUAUAAACCGGGCCUUCAACUGGUCCCAUGACUCGACGGAGUUAGCCGGCAAGUUCUUCAACCAUGUACGGGAUGUUCCCUCCAACAUCAUCGUGAAGUACUUUGCACAAGCCGCUUCAUCCAUGUCCAGCAUCUCCAUUGCCAUCUCAUAACUUUCCACCCACGCCUCGGGUGGCUGAUCAGCAGUAUAAUUUGGUACCUUACGUGGGCCCUUGAAAUCAUUAGGCAGUCGCACAUUACGGAGAGCCAGAAUAAGGCACGGCACUCCCCAAGAAGUGAAAGCAAGCCCGGUGCCUCGGUCCACUGACGUUGCUGGCUGAACCGGGGCAGGUUGAUAUCGACCCGUAUGCUGUGCUGCUAAAGUGGCCUCCCUUCGUGCCCCGCCAUUAUCCACCAUGUCUUGAGCAUUCACAUCACCACGCGCCGGAUUAGGCCCUUGAGGGACAAUGCGGCGCCGCGCACUGCUGGACACUUCCGGUUCACCUAUAUGCCUGCUAUAGCUUUUGCUCGGACGUGGGGUCGAGUGAAUCCUGUCUCGGCUAUACGAGUAAGCUUGCCGAUGCGUCAUAGCCAUUUGAAGAAGAUCCCUGGCCCGCCGUGUCUCAACCGCUGCUGGAGAUUCACCCUCUAUCGGAAUAGCUGCCAACCGGGAUGCUGCUGCUAUAUAUUGUCCAAAGGGGUAGAGAAGUGACCCGGCGGGGGUGUGGUAUACCGUGGCGGGUUGUCCGUUUGCCGAGGUGGACCCAUCACCUGAGGUUGAUCCGGUGCUCCGGUCCUUAGCGCAAUAGUCCGGUUCACUGCGGCCGGAUUGCUAGUCCCUGCUCCUGGCGUACCGAAGAGGUUCAUCGCAUUGUAAUCCGCCGGCAAGUGAGAACGAUGUCUCCUCUUGAAUACUUCAUUUGAAGCGUUCUGAUCCAUCAAAAGUCGAUAAUUCUCGGCUUGAAUCCUCUGCGCCUGGGCAUCUAAAGCAGCCCACUCCUCAGUCAUCCGGAUCUCCUCAGCUGCUAAAUCCUCUUUUGCCUGCGUUAUCUAAUCCUUUAGCCUUGCAAUGUCCGCAUUGUGUUGAUCCUGCGUCGCUGGUGUAACUGCCGUGGUCAACAAGGUCGCCCAGGCAUCCAUCCAACCAGAGAGAACUUGAGCCGGCCGGCGCGCGGAGCCUCCUGCCCCUGCUACCGGUCCGGACGCCGUCGCAGUAGAGUUAUGCAAGGUUGGUUGUGUUCCGACCAUGAAGAUUCCGACGUGGUUCGGUGGUUCAAGAAAUUCCGGAAUAAUGGUGCCAUCGGAAUACCCUUCAAAACACACCAUCCUGAACUUGGUAUAGGGACUCGGUUUCACCAGCGGAUGAUUCGCCGUCAGAAUAAGCGACCAUCUCACCUUCAGACACCGGUUCAGAUCCGAUCUCGUGGACACAUCCCACGAACGCACGCUUCAUGGCAGGCUAAAUCCGGGCGGGACUUGCACGCUGAGCCGUCUCGACGAGGUUGGUGCAGAUGUCCGGCUCAGGGCCCGGUUCACCGAUCUUGCCGAUGAAAACAUGAAUUCCGCCGAAGGGGACCCUGUACCCGUACUCGAUUGAGACGGCCUCGGGGCCCCAGCCUGCGUCGUUGAUGUAGAGCUUGCCGCGACGACUCUUGGUCAUCCGGCCCACUGCAUAUCCUUUGAGUCCUUCAAAUCUGCCCUUCAAGAACUCAAAACCAUCGUGCGAUAGCCCCACGGUGGGCGCCAACUGACAUGGAAAUAUCACGUCAGAUGUCCUCAUGAAAGGACUUAGUCGUGGAGCCAUCGCAACGGGUUAGCUUAAAGGGGUUAAACCGGACAAAGGACACGAGGGAUUUUAUACUAGUUCGGCCCCUUCGAUGAAGGUAAAGGCUUACGUCUAUUGUGAUGGGAUUAUUGGGGUCUCGAUAACCAGGGAGCUAAACACGCUAUGCCUGGCUCUCGAGUUGUUGUUUAUUGUCCCUGAACCGCCGUGGGUCGUCCCCUUAUAUACACGGGUUGACGCCCGGUCGGUUUAUAGAGUCCCGAGGACUCAUACAAGUGUCUGGCUCGGUCUCUCCUUUCCUUAUCUUACAAUACAAGUUACAUGACUAUGGCGGUUUACCACUAUGGGCCCUAAUCCGCCUUUGGGCUCCUGGCCUCUAAGCCUGAUAGUAAAGCGCCAUCUUCCGGGUCUUCGUGGGCUUCAAUAUAGUUGAGUGUGAACCGGCCCCUCCUGGGCAGUUUACACUCAGUAGUUAUAUCCCCAACACCUAGGGUAUGCCUAUGUUGUUCAUCUUGGAUGGGGAAAAAUAGUAAAGCAAUCAUCAUUUGUCUUUUUAUUAAUUUAAAGCAAUCAUUAGCCUGCUAUCAUUAUUUUUGGAUCCAUCCACUGGCUGUUACCAUCACUCUAAAUUUCUGCAUGCUCUCCUUACAUAAUCUCACCAUAUUUUUUCGUAUGCAUGUCAGAUAUUGUACACAGUCAUGUUGAACAUGUAGAGAAAAAGAGAAGAGUUUGGCGCGGCAAUACAAUGUCAUGCCGACAUUGCUCCAUGGUGGGUUCAAUGGCAAACCCUCCCCACCCUUCUCCAGAUUGUAAUCCAGAGGAAGAUAUCUGUUCUGAGGCGAAUUUAGAUGCCACUGACCACUCCUAUUUACCCCCCAAGGUGUUUGCUCUACCUUGGCAUGAUGAUGUUAGUCAUAUCAUGCAUAUGUUGCCUUGAAGUGCCUACUUUUUACGUCAUAUAUGUCAUCUGCUUAGUUUAGACAUGUCUGUAAUGCCACUUGUUUAGUUUCUAUAUCAUAUAUGGGAAUUAUGCAGUCUCAUGUCUUUUAGCCAGCCAUAAUAUAUAUGAAAUGUGCAAUGCAAUCCUGUUUAACCAAGCAUCAUAUAUUUGAAUGAUAUCUUGCCCAUCCUUUUCUUCAUUACAUUUCCAUUUGUCGAUAAUGUUUGUACAUUAAACUACUCUUCCUGUGAAUCAGCCAUUUGGGUGGGAGAUGGAAAAAUCUGGAGUGAAAAUAAGGCCUUUAGAGCAGACAGUGCUACCUGACGAAGCAGAUCUCUUGUUGGGUCCCGAUAGCUCCUCAUAGAUGGAUUCAGAGACAGAUGGCCAGUCCUAUUCCCCCACUGAGGUGUAUGCUCUAACUUGGCACAGUUAUACUGCUCAUAUCAUGCAUAUGGUGUCUUGCAUUGCAUAGUUUAGACAUCAUAUACACAAUAUUCAACACCAUGUCUUAGUUCAGACAUCAUAUCGAAUGCCCUCUGUUUAGCAUAUAAAUCACAUAUGUGAAUUAAAUGAUGCGAUCCUGAUUACUUAGAUAACAUGUAGGUGAAUUAUGUCAUGCGAUCAUGUUUAGUUAUUCAUCAUAUCUUUGAAUUAUGUUAUGUUAUGCUAUCCAGUUUAGAUAGACAUCAUAUAUGUGAAAUUAUGUCAUGCUAUCCAUUUUAUUUAAACAAUAUACAUGUCAACUAUUUCAUGCCCUCUUUUUUCCACACUAUCUAUUGCAUCUGUCUCUCAUAUAAUGUAUGUACAUUCAACUAUGUUUCCUGUUUAUCAACCAUUCGAAUUGGAGCGGGUGAUGCCAGUAUCUAGCGGACUAAAAACACGGUCUUCAAAUAAAACAAUGCUACCUCUUGGUGGAGAUAGCACCCCGGUUGUACAUGCACAAGAACCAUCCCUACCACACAUAACCCAAACUCUCGCAGAUUAUACCCCUACUGCGAUGGACAGAGAACCAGCUUCACCCAAUCUAACCCCAACCCCAGCCGAUAGUAACCCAGUUCCUGUUGACACAGCACCAUCUCCACCAUAGAGCUCCCAAACAAGAGCAGUUAGUAAGGCAGUUCCAAUGCCCAAAGGGCCAUUACUAUCACGGCGAACCCCAACUCCACCAGUUAGUACGCCUAUUCCUGUGGAGGAAGCACAACCAGCUAGUCGUAGUUUAGUAUCUAUCACAUUUGAUGUUGUUAAAUCGUAUGUGCGUAUUUUCCCAUCUUGGAAAUAUUAUACUGAAGAUGAAGGAAAAUGCCAGUUCCAGGUGUUUGUCCAGGAGUUAUGUGUAAGUAAUGUUAUUCAUGGCAAUUACUUUUCUUCGUCCCAUACAUCCUACCUCCAUGAUGGUUAUAAUACAGCAAAUUUUCCCAUUUUCUCUAUAGAGAAGGACCAAUUUGGAAACUCGGGAUGAGGUAACCUAUGCUAAUACCUCUGCUAUCUUCAAGAAUGCUUGGUGGCAGUAUCAGAAUUACCUGAAGAAAACGUACUUCACCGGCAAAGAAACCCAUCAAAUUCCCUUACAUUCUCCUGAGACACAUUUACUGGACGAUGACUGGGAACGCCUUAUUCUGUACUGGUCCCGAAUCAAGAAUGUGGUAAGGUCUAUGAGCUCAUUUUCUAUUUUUAAGUAUUAUUGCGUCUUACUGUACUCUGUUCAUGUAGAACAAGUGCCUAAACCUGAAGAACAAUUGUUCUAAUUUAAGAUUCUAUUGCUAUCAUAGUUCAAAAAAGCGCUAGGCGUUAAUUGUGCAUUUUGCCACCGCCUUGCGCUUUACUGACCAAAGCGCAUGCUUAUGCGAAGUUAUGCAUAGAUUAAGCAUAGUUAUGCGCAAUGCAUUUUGCCAACGCCUAGAGCCUAGGCGCGCUUAAGCGCUCGCUUAGGCGCGCCUUUUUUAACUAUGAUUGCUUUGCUCUUGUAUCACUGUAUUUACUCAUACAAACUUAUUUUUAAAUUGAAGGAUCCAAUCGAAACUCCAAUGGCACAGCAGGUAUGUCCACGCAUGUUUCUUUAAUAGGUUUGCUCUUAUCAAUAGCUCUGUUGAUUUGAAUUUCAAUUGUGUAUACAGUUGACUUUCAUAUCAUGCACAUUACUAGCAUCACAACAGAGCCAAUAGUGUUGUUGUACAUGUAGACCCGUGGUACCCAUCUGAAAAUCUUGUUGUGUCAUGUAGUUUCCCACGCUUUGUAUUCUUUCACUGCUGCUUUGUCUUGAACUGAUAUGAUUUGAACUGUGUCUCUAUUUUGAUUUGGCAAGACAAUGCAGUGACCAUAGGACAUAGAUAUAUGUUUGUUUGAUGCUUUUAUUAUGUACUAGUACUUGGCAAUAUAAGACUUGGUAGUUUAAUCAUGUCCACCUUACUAACGAACUGGUUCACCGAAAUGAGUUUCAUAUACUAGUACAUGCUAAACUUGUUAUGUGUCUGCUUGUUUCUUCUUUUAGAAUGCUGACAGAAUAUUGGGGAAGAGUGCCUUAUUAAGCAAUGGUAAAGGAAGUAAUGCAGAUAAGGUUCAGGAUAGUGACACAUCCUUGUUGGUCUCCAACAAAGCUGAUAAAACAGCUAAGGAAGACUAUCUUGAAGACAGCGGGACAACCCCAAAGUCCUGUCUUGGUUUAGUGUUCGAGUUACUGGCCACUACCGCUUGCACAACCUAUUCAAACUCACUAUAUGAAUCAGUUCGGUUUCUUGAGUCUCAACUACAAGAUUAAAGACAUCGAUCAGCUGUGCUGCAACAAGAAGCGGAAGGACCGCGGAAGUCCCUGGAGCAUUCAGAUGCAUACUUUCUGGUGCAACAGCAAGCGUUGGAGGAUUUUAGCGCCAAACAGGACAAAGCUAGUAAGCUUGCUAAGCUUAUUGCCAGCAUGGUGGAUACCCAGGAUAAUGUUUCUUGAGCUCUUCUGAAGUUGUUUCAGUUAUGCUCUUGUUUUUCUACUGCGUUUAUUUGCACUGGUGGCCAAUUUUGACGGCCAGUGUAUGUAAUAUGCUGCUUUGUUUCCUAUAUUUGCACUGGUGCGAACUUGGAUGCCCAGUGGAUGUAAUAUGUGUAAUAGCGGUAAUAGGCUAGCGUUAAUUGCUUGCUUAUUUAUUUCCUUAUUGUCUUGUUUAGUUGUUUGCUUGUAGUCACUGCAUUUCUUUUUCUGUGUUUUUCUAGUGGCAACAUUAGCCUAUUUUUGGUAACUAGGCCAAAAUAAUCAUGGAAACACACGGACUGUUGUAACCAUGGGCCUCCUACAGGCCGUAUGAUCCAUGGGCCUUCUUCCGGCCAUAGUGUCCAUUGGCCUUCUAUACGGGCCGUAGGAUCCAUUGGCCUUUUAUACGGGCCUUAGGAUUCGUGGGCCUUCUACAGGCCAUAGGGUCCAUGGGCCUUCUAUGGGCCGUACGAUCCAUGGGCCUUCUAUGGGCCAUACUAUUCACGGGCCUCAUACGGGCCGUAGGAUCCAUGGGCCUUCUACGGGGCGUAUCAUCAUUUCGCCAAUCAUGGGCCAUACUAUUCGUGGAUCAUAACGGGUCGUUAAUAGGUCGUACUUGAUAACUGUAUGAAAACAGCCCAACGGGUUUUUUUGACAUGAAAACGGCCUAACGUAUUAAUGGUCCGCAAACGGGCCGACUGUAACGACGGGCUGAAUUUGGCCCACAAGCAGAAAAUGGCAGUGACGGGCCGUAUGUAACCGAAUGCUGCAAAUGAGCCCAAGAAUCAAUGGGCCCUGAGAAGGCCGAAAGAUAACUUGGGCUAGAAACGGCCCAAUGGAAUAACGGGCCGUUAAUGGGUAUAAAGUGAUACACUAUUCAUUACGGGCCAGUUUCACCACGGGCCGUUAAUGGGCCAAGAGUUACAAAGGGCCUCAUAUGGGCCGAAAGAAGUCAUGGGCCACACAUGGGCCGGAAGUUAAAAUGGGCUGGAAUCAUAUUGGACAGCCCAGAUGACGCUACUGGGCCUAAUUCGGAUAGGGCGUAACGGGCCCUGGGUUAGUGGGUUGUAAAUGGGCUAUAUGCGAACAUGCCGUUAACAGGCUUUCCGUGGGCCGGCCCGCCACCUUUUGACCAAGUCAAGCGGGACGGCCUUUUCACAGGAAUGGGCCUCUGUUGGGUCGUGCCAUGUGUCGCCGUAUCAUAGGCGCCUUCUGUCCAAUGAGCGGAUGACAUCUGUCCCAACGGUGAGCCGACACGUGUUUCGUCCAGUGAAUGAUGAUUUUAUGCGUGGAAAAUCCCCAUUGGUCGGGGAUGUUAACGGGUUAUCGGAUCCAAAACCCGACCUGAUAGCUUAACGGCGUUCCCUUACGAUGGAUGCCACGUGUCGGUCACCCUUGAAGAAAGCACUUCUCUGACGUGCGAUUUAUCGUCAUGGAAGUGGACACUUCCGUGAUGAUAAUUUUGGUAAUGUCAUGGAACACUUCUACGACAGCACAGGUAUGACUAUCUUGAUUCUGUCAUAAAAUCGUCAUGGAUGUACAUGGAUGACAAAAACGCAACCUACCGUGACAAACACGUAUCAUCACGGAAGUGUAUUUUUUUGUAGUGUAUCUACUAUAUGAUUCACCUUCGACCUUUCGGCCUCCAGUGUUCCGAGGCCAUAUAUGUAUAUGCUAGGCUCGUCAAGUUUAACCCGAGUAUUCCGCGUGUGCAAAUCUGGCUUGCACCCGUUGUAUUUGAACGUAGAGCCUAUCACACCCGAUCAUCACGUGGUGUCUUAGCACGAAGAACUUUCGCAACGGUGCAUACUCGGGGAGAACACUUAUACCUUGAAAUUUAGUAAGGGAUCAUCUUAUAAUGCUACCGCCGCACUAAGCAAAAUAAGAUACAUAAAAGAUAAACAUCACAUGCAACCAAAAUAUGUGACAUGAUAUGGCCAUCAUCAUCUUGUGUUUUUGAUCUCCAUCACCAAAGCAACGUCAUGAUCUCCAUCGUCACUGGCUUGACACCUUAUUCUCCAUCGUAGCGUUGUGGUCGUGUCGCCAACCAUUGCUUCUAUGACUAUCUCUACUACUUAGUGAUAAAGUAAAGAAAUUACAUAGAGUUUGUAUUUCAUACAAUAAAGGAACAACCAUAUGGCUCCUGCCAGUUGCCGAUAACUUUUACAAAACAUGAUCAUCUCAUACAACAAUAUUAUAUCACAUCAUGCCUUGAUCAAAUCACAUCACAACAUGCCCUGCAAAAACAAGUUAGACGUCUUCUACUUUGUUUGUUGCAAGUUUUACGUGGCUGCUACGGGCUUCUAGCAUGAACCGUACAUACCUACGGCACAAAAACCACAACGGUGAUUUAUCAAGUUUGUUGUUUUAACCUUCACAAGGACCGGACGCAGUCAAAUUCGAUUCAACUAAAGUUGGAGAAACAGACACCCGCCAGCCAACUUUAUGCAAAACUAGUUGCAUGUUUGUCGGUGGAACCGGUCUCAUGAACGCGGUCAUGUAAGGUUGGUCCGGGCCGCUUCAUCCAACAAUAUCGCUGAAUCAAAAGAAGACAUUGGUGGUAAGCAGUAUGACAAUCACUUCCCACAACUCUUUGUGUUCUACUCAUGCAUAUUAUCUACGCAUAGACCUGGCUCGGAUGCCACUGUUGGGAAACAUAGCAUGCAAUUUUUUAAAAUUCCUACGCUCACGCAAGAUCUAUCUAGGAGAUGCAUAGCAACGAGAGGGGGAGAGUGUGUCCACGUACCCUCAUAGACCGAAAGCGAAAGCGUUAACUUAAUGCGGUUGAUGUAGUCGAACGUCUUCUCGAAUCAACUGAUGAAGUACCAAACAUACGGGACCUCUGAGUUCUGCAUAUGUUCAGCUCGAUUACGUCCCUUGAACUCUUGAUCCAGUAGAUGCACGAAGGAGUCGAUGAGUUCCGUUAGCACGAUGGCGUGGUGACGGUGUUGGCGAUGUGAUCCGUGCAGGGCUUCGCCUAAGCACUACGACAAUAUGACCAGAGGAGUAAACGGUGGAGGGGGGCACCGCACAUGGCUAAGAAACAACUGUUGUGCUUUGGGGGUACCCCCUUGCCCCCGUAUAUAAAGGAGGAGAGGGGAGGCCGCCGGCCCUAGGGGCGCGCCAAGUGGGGGAGUCCCACUAGGACUCCUAGUCCUAGUCGGCCCCCCUUCCUUUCCAAUGGAGUGGGAAGGAGGGAAGUGGAGGGAAAGAGAGAGGGAGAAGGAAAGGGGGGCCGCACCCCUUCCCCUUGUCCAAUUCGGACUCCCUAUGGGGGGGCGUGCGCCACCUCCUGGGGGGGGGGGUCCGGUAACCCCUGGAUACUCUGAAAAAUACCCGAACCUCUCCGGAACCAUUCCGAUGCCCCUGUAUAACCUUCCAAUAUAUCAAUCUUUACCUCUCAACCAUUUCGAGACUCCUCUUCAUGUCUGUGAUCUCAUCCGGGACUCCGAACAACCUUCGGUCACCAAAACACAUAACUCAUAUAAUACAUAUCAUCAUCAAACGUUAAGCGUGCGGGCCCUACGGGUUCGAGAACUAUGUAGACAUGACCAAGACACCUCUUCGGUCAAUCACCAAUAGCGAAAUCUGGAUGCUCAUAUUGGUUCCCACAUAUUCUAUGAAGAUCUUAAUCAGUCAAACCGCAAUGUCAACAUACAUUAUUCCCUUUUUCAUCGAUAUGUUACUUGCCCGAGAUUCGAUCGUUGUUAUCUUCAUACCUACUUCAAUAUCGUUACCGGUAAGUCUCUUUACUCGUUCCGUAGUGCAUCAUCCCGCAACUAACUCAUUAGUCACAUUGCGUGCAAGGCUUCAUAUGAUGUGCAUUACCGAGAGGGCCCAGAGAUACCUCUCCGAUACUUAGAGUGACAAAUCCUAAUCUCGUUCUAUGCCAACCCAACAAACACCUUCAGAGAUACCUGUAGAGCAUCUUUAUAAUCACCUAGUUACGUUGUGACGUUUGAUAGCACAUAAGGCAUUCCUCCGGUGUCCGGGAGUUGCAUAAUAUCAUAGUCGGAGGAAUAUAUAUUUGACACGAAGAAAGAAGUAGCAAUAAAACUGAACGAUCACUAUGCUAAGCUAACGAUGUGUCUUGUCUAUCACAUCAUUCCACUAAUGAUGUGACCCCGUUUAUCAAAUGACAACUCAUGUCCAUGGCUAGGAAACUUAACCAUCUUUGAUCAACGAGCUAGUCUAGUAGAGGCAUACUAGGGACAUGGUGUUUUGUCUAUGUAUUCACACAUGUAUCAAGUUUCCGGUUAAUACAAUUCUAGCAUGAAUAAUAAACAUUUAUCAUGAAUAAGGAAAUAUAAAAUAACAACUUUAUUAUUGCCUCUAGGGUAUAUUUCCUUCAAUACUGCUCAUUUCCUGUGUUUUUGAAGGAAACUACACAUCCACCCAAAGCUCAUUUUGCGCGUAGGAACGAGACAAAUUAAUUCCUUAGGAUGGCAAGUGGCAUCCUAUCGAAUUCCUAUACUACUCUCAAUUCCUACAUUUUGAUUUCCUCCAAACUGAAUGAGCCCUAAGAGGGUGGAUAGGCAGUUCCUAGUUGGAGACAUUGCCUAAUUGAAGUUGCAGCCUUGCUUUUCACCUACUCGGACGAUCCCCAAGCUCCUGCAUGUCGUUGUUGAUCACCCGACGACUAUUCUUCUCUUUUUACUUUCCACCUACUCAUUUAUGUAAUGGCUAUAAAGCCACGAAACUCGCAUGAGUGGAGGGGCAUCCCUUGUGUAAUGGGGUUGUAAACCCUAGCCGCCAGUGGCGUGUUACCUAUCUUUCGCCUUUCAAUAAGAACCCUACAUUUAAUUCUCCAAUUUCAUCUGUGUUCUUGAGUGAUUGAUGUUGAAAUUUAGUCAUAGCAUAGACUAGUUCCUGACAGGUUCAUAAAAAUGACUGCAUCUAUACAUGUACGUCACGUGAAAAAAAUCGUUAGGUUUAGGUGAACCCAACGCCUACAUGCUGGCUCCGCCUCUGGAGGGGGGCAGGCCCCCUGCCUCUCCUCCAAUCCUUGCCGGCUCAUUAUCUAGUGAUAUAUUUCCUCAGAUGGAUUGGUUAACGAGUGUGUGUGAGGCAACCGGUGGGUACAGGUCCAAGGUUCGACCCCCAUGACUCCAGUUUUUCUCUUUAAUAUUUUGUCCGACAUUUCGUAUGGUCAAGGUGUCAAGUCCCGACUAUGAAUCUAUGAUCUAGGGAGCAGUUGUAUGUAAUAUAGACAUUAAUUGAGGAGAAAUGGCUGAAUCAAGAGGCCAGAUAUAUACUUAUCUAGGGUUUGGUAUGAGUGUUUUGGCGAUCGGGCUGAAUUGGGAAAAAUAGCAUACGAGCCACAUCCAGACGGUUAGAUAAGCUCACUCCACGAGGUAAGGGAAACUCCAAUGCACCGGCACGCAAACUGUCUGCGCAUGUCUGUUUGAGUCCAAAUGGACACAAAUUAGGGCCCAAUGCGCUGACUCAAACAGACGUACGUCCACUUUUGUCCAUGUGCGACCCAUUUUUGGCCCAAAUAUGAGUCGGGUUUGCAUCAGCGCGAACACAAAGCGGACGUGUGUGACCCCCGCCCUUGUCCUUCCCCUAGCCCGCUAGUUGGUGGCACAAUGGCCAUUCCCCCUCCCAUUGACAGCCAACACACCCAACCACCCCGCUCUCGUCGAUGUCCUUAGUUUCAGCCGGUUGGACGCUGACCAGGUCAUGACCCACACCCAUCAACCUCCCCAGCAUCUCGCCACCUCGACGACUGCUCUUGCAGGCAGUUGUGAACUGUUUUCGCCGCUAUCAUAGCACCCUGAUGACCACGCCACCUCUGCCGCCACUAGCAACGCCGCAAACUCGGCGUCCUUGCUCGCCGGUCGCCACCACGGUCACCUCCAAGCCGGUAGGACUGCUGCCUGGUCUGGGAGAGACGUUGGGCUCUUCACCGUCCGACUUCUAGCUCCACGCCCACAAGGUGUUCGACGUUUCGCUCACAAGGUACAAAUGGAUAGUGACAAAUGAGUACUUUUUCAACAACUUCAUUUGCAAUUCGGAUGAUUCGUCGUCUGACGAUGAGGACAUUGUGGUUGCGGCUUUGGUCGUCCAUGACCAUAUUAGUAGGCAGCGACCGAUGUUUAGGGGGUUGAUCCCAGGGCAUACUCCGGCGUUGAAUCGCAACAGAGAGAGCGACCAUUGCCUACUCUGGAAGGAUUACUUUGAGUCCGCUGACCUACUCUUCGAACACAACCUCUUUCGGCGCCGCUUCUGAAUGGCUAGACAUGUGUUCAAUCUUAUCCUGGAGGGGGUGGUGGCUUAUGAUAAUUAUUUUGAAUGCAAGGAGGAUGAUCUAGGAAAGGUUGGCUUCUCCUCUUAUUAGAAAUGCACUGCAGCUAUUCAGAUGCUUGUAUACGGAAUACUCGGUGAUCUUAUUGAUGAGUAUGUCCGUAUGCACGAGUCCACGUGCCUAGAAUCCACGUAUAGGUUCUGCAAGGCUGUUGUACAGUAUUUGGCCUGGAGUACUUGAGAGAACCAACUAUUGCAGAUACAACCUGGUUUUGGCGACCAAUGCCGAUAGGGGUUUUCGGGAAUGCUUGGUAGCAUAGAUUGUAUGCAUUAGGAGUGGAAGAACGGUCCUUUUGCUUGGCAGGGGCAGUUUAGGGGUCGUGUGAAAGCUUGCAUUGUCAUACUUGAGGCCGUGGCUUCACAAGAUCUAUGGAUUUGUCACUCUUUCUUCGACAUGACCGACUCUCACAAUGACAUCAACGUGCUUCAGCACUCUUCGAUGCUUGCAAGGCUUGCAGAAGGCAACUUCCUAGAGGUCAAUGUUAAGAUCAAUGGUCACCACUACAACAAAGGAUACUACCCAGUUGAUGGUAUCUAUCAUCAGUGUAUUACUCUUGUCAAGACAAUCUCCAACCCGAUAGGAGAGAGGAGGCUGAUAUUUGCCCAAGCACAAGAGAAUGUUAGAAAAGAUGUGGAGCGUGCUUUUGGUGUUCUUCAAUCUCAAUGGGACAUUGUUCUGUAUCCUGCUAGAACUUGGAGCACCAAGAAGUUGUGGGAGGUGAUGACUGCUUGUGUAAUCAUGCACAAUAUGAUCGUAGAGGAUGGGGGCGAGGAUGAAAUCUUCCAUUGGGAUUUCAAUUUCAGAGGGAAAAUGUUGUGCCUGAGCAUGGAGGAGUGACAACAUUGGCACAGUUCACUGAAUUUCAUCGUCAAAUACGUGAUUGGAAAACUUACACUCAACUACAAGAUGAUUUGAUUGAGCAUAUGUUGGCUCACCUUGGCAACCAAUAGAUGUAUGGGCUAAUUUUUCUUUCAAAUGUAUUUGCGUUUAAAUCUUAUUUGGUUUGUAAACUAUGAGAUUUUAUUUGGUUUAUGGAACUAUGAUAUUUGUAUUUGGUUGAAUUAUGUGAAUUUUGGGAAAUGUUUUUGAUAUGUACGCAAAAAAAGCAAAAAAAUGAUCGUGCGGACGAAAAUGCGUCAGUGUGUUGGACGUCAACUCAAACGCGGAAAGGGGCGGACAAAGGCAAAAACGCCGACCCAAACCGAUAAAAAGCGGACAAAAUCCGUGACCGUUUGCGUCGGUGCGUUGGAGUUGCCCUAAUAACUUUAACUGAUUUUAAAUGGUAACUAAGUAUUACAUAGAUCCUGGCCGCCGAGGGACGGUUUUACCCGAGUGAGUACAGCCGUUGGAUCAGAUGAAGCGUUGCCGGACGCGCAACAAUUAACUGAAGGUCAACACUGCCUCAUGUUCAAACACAUGCGCUGCUUGACCCAAGGGCCUUUGAUCGGAUGGCAACGGUGCCGAAUGUCUCUUUUGAGCAUGCACCUAACUAACAGUAGUAUUUUUACGAUUUUUUCUAGACAUUUCUACGACUUGGUGAAAAUGAUCUUCGUAGUUUUAAUCAGUUUGGUAAUUUUUUUGAAACUUUCCGAGAAUGGUUAGCACAGUACUGUUCGUUUAGAGAAUUUUUGUUAACGCUUUCAUUUUUUCUAAAAUUUGACCCCAAAAAAGUCAUGAAUAUGUAUUUUUCUUGUAGUUUUUAAUUUGUUUGAAAAAAGUUUCAAACUUUCCCAAAAUGAUUAGCAUGGUGAGAAUUGUCUCAAUUUUUCCUGGGCACUUUCAUUUUUUGGGUCAAAAUUUGACAAAAAACUGUCUUGAAUUGCAUUUUCCUGGUAUUUUUAAUCUGCUUGGCAAAAAAGUUUGAAAUUUUCACAAAAUGACCAGCGUGGUAAUGUUCAUUUUACAUAAGUCUUUAUUUUCUAGGGCACCUUUUUUGGUCAAAAAGUGGGCUGGUGAUGUGGCAGCUGAAGUGGACGCUGACCGGAUUGGUCAACUGGUCAAAACCAGUCAAACAGGCUAGAAACCGGUUUGAGUAGAGUCGGGGUUGAAAGUUGAGGGUAGUAACUUAGAGCAUCUCCAAUAGCUUGUCUAUAUGGAUGUCUAUACUAGUUUUCCACCACGUGAGGCCAAAACGAACGUCCAACAGCUCGUGUAAAUGGGCGUCCAAACAUGCACAUCCUCUAAAUCCACCUUCACAAUGUCCACACCUGGACGAUGUGAAGGCGUAGUCCAUAGCUCAACCGCAGCCCGUGUACGCUGCUGCUGCUACUAAAUAUGACAUGCUGAAUUUUGCUGUUGAUGCUAUUUAUCCAAGACAUCGUUGAUGAUUUUGUUGAUAUUGUUGCUGCUACCUAGGUGAUGUAUUGUCAUAUGAAAUUUCUGCCGAUUUUUUGCAGAUGCAAUAAGUAAAUCGUUGAAUCACUGUUAAAACGGUAGUUACAAAAUAAUAUUAAAAUAUAGAAGAGAGAAUAUAGACAUUCUGUAUAUAGACGUUCUGCUGUAAAACUGGAUGUGUAUAUUAGGGAAUCUUUUUAGACCAUUGUCUAUAUGGAUAUAUAGACAUCCAAAUAUAGGCCAUGGAGACUUUUCAGGUGUGCCUAUCGAACGCGAGUUGCACCCAUGCAACAUGCAUGGUACGUAUCGUGGAUCAGGGGAGUCUGCCAGUGCAUGAGCCACAUACUGCCAAUGAUCCUGAAGAUGGGCAGUUCCAGGACACGCCAGACCAUGUAGCAGUACAUGAUGAUGAGGAUGAGCCGGUGCAGACCACGCCACUGAGGUCUGGUGGCGGCUUGCUGUUGCAAGGUGACUUGGAGAGCAUGCGCGUGGAGAUGUGCAGAACCCUAUCCCCAAUCCUGCCGCUCCCAACCUCCCGCGCGCCGGCGGGGCAAACGCGUAACCCAAGGAAGAAAAGAAGACUGGACAUAACGCCAAGGAGGAGCGCGAGACUGGCGAAGCAAGGGGCAUCCAAGCAACAGAAAGUGCUCAUUAGGAAACUCUGUCUGGCGCAUGAAGGGGAGGCCAUUUCGGAAGAAUCGCUUAGGAUGUACGUUGACCUGUUUUCCCGCCCGCUUUCGGACGUGCAUAUUGUCGAUGUGCUCGUCUUGUUCGGUUGGGAAUCGCCGGUUGUGCCCCUGGAAGGGGAGGAGGUGUGCUAAUGCACGCGCUGGUGGCUCGGUUGAUGCUUGAAAUGAAUGUGCAACCUUUGAGGGUGAUGGUGUGGAAUGUCCGAGGGCUAAAUGCGCCUGCUCGUCGGAAUGCGGUCUUCCAGGUGGUGAAUCAGGCUUGUCCUGCCAUUGUGUGUCUCCAAGAAACUAAGUUGCAUGAUGUGUCGCUAAACAUUGUACGGCAAUGCCUCGGUGCUAAGUUUGAGAAAUUUUUCUAUUUGCCUGCGUCCGGCACGCAUGGUGGGAUCUUGGUGGCCUGGGAUGCCACAAUGACUCAACUCUCUAACUCGCACUAUACCAACCACACAUUAACUGUGCUUGUUAAAUGCCCUGAGGACGACCAGCCUUGGUGGCUCACAUGUGUUUAUGGGCCUCAAGAGGAGGAAGAGAAGGUAGAGUUCCUUCAGGAUUUAGUGGAUAUUCGUGACCUGCACGCUGGGCCUUGGCUCGUGGCCGGGGAUUUUAAUCUCAUCACUUGCCAGGAGGAUAAUAACAAUGCCUUGAUCAACCGAAGAAUGAUGGGGAGGUUUUGGGCUAAGCUCAACCCUUUGGAACUAAAAGAGAUAUAUUUGAACGGCGGAAGAUACACCUGGUCAAAUGAACGAAGAGUGGCUACCUUGGAGAAGAUCGAUCACGUCCUUGCUUCGAAUGACUGGGAUGAGGCCUACCCAACAAGUUUCCUUUUCGCGCUGGGCACGGCUGUGCCUGACCAUUGCCCGCUGAUGCUUGAUAUGAAUGUGAGCAUUAAUAUGAAGAGCCGUUUCAAGUUUGAGUCGUUCUGGAUUCGAGCCCAGGGUUUCAUGGAUGUAGUCAAGCUGGCUUGGUCCACCACACCUGUAGCCAACAAUGACUACCUCACGCUGCAUAACAAGUUAAGGGCAACUGCUGUAAGCCUACAAAGGUGGAGUGACCAUUGGAUUGGUAAUGUAAAGCUGCAAUAUUGACUGCGCUUGAAGUUAUAAAAACAGCUCGACAUGGCCAUGGAGACAAGAGCGUUAUCUGAUGCUGAGAGGGCACUGAGGAAAUGCCUAAAGAAGAAGCUGCUGGGCUUGAGCUCUCUGGAGAGGACAAUAGCAAGGCAAAGAUCAAGGUUGUUGCAACUACGUGAGGGUGACGGAAAUACUAGGCUAUUCCAUCAGCAAGCUAGUCAUAGGCAGAGAAAGAAUAUAAUAAGAGUUGUGAAGCACAACGGCAACUUGUACUCUGGGCAGGACGAGGUGGCAUCAGCGGUGGGCGCAUACUUUGGUGCAGCUUUUGGUGCUACGGAGGAGAGGUCACAUGCCCUUAAUCUUGAUAUGUUGGGCUUGCCGCAUCUGGACUUGCAGCACUUGGAGAGCCCGUUCACGGAUGAGGAAGUGGAGAAAGUAAUCAAGAGCAUGCCCAUGGACAAAGCUCCGGGGCCGGAUGGGUUCACCGGUCGUUUUUAUGCAACUUGCUGGGACAUAAUCAAGGUGGAUUUCAUGAGAGCGAUGAACGGUUUCUACAAGGGGGGGCAUGAGAGGUUUGGCCGCAAUCAAUAAGUCCCUUGUCUCACUUUUGCCCAAGAAGGAUGGGGCUUUGGAGGUGAGUGACUUUUGGCCUAUAAACCUUGUCCACGGGGCCAUUAAGAUCUUUGAAAAGGUUUUGGCUUGUCAGUUCGUGGAGGAUCUCCCCAAGUUGGUUGGGAACCACCAGAGCGUGUUUGUUAAAGGCAGAUCGCUGCAUGACAACUUCAUACUUGUGCAGAGCAUGGCACGCCGUUUGCAUGCUUUGAGGAGUUCAAGUGUGCUGCUAAAGCUAGAUAUAUCUAAAGCAUUUGACUCCGUCCAGUAGCCUUUCCUUAUUGAGGUGUUGAAUCAAAUGGGCUUCGGACCAAGGUGGAGGUCUUGGAUAUGCGGGAUACUUGCAACAUCGACCACCAAGAUCAUGGUGAAUGGUGAGCAGGGAGACACAAUAUACAAUUGUAAAGGGCUGAGGCAGGGGGACCCGAUCUCUCCCAUGCUCUUCAUUCUAACAAUGGAGCCCCUUCAAAGGUUGUUCGAGGUGGCUAUGGCUAGAGGUGUGUUGUCACCCCUCACGCGUGUUGGCAUGAGGAAACGUCUCUCUAUCUUCGCUGAUGACGUGGUGCUAUUUAUCAAACCGAAUCCAAUGGACCUUGAGGUAUGCAAGUCUCUGUUUGAGAUCUUUGGGGAGGCAUCAGGGCUGAGAAUCAACAUGAGCAAAUCCGUGGCCCUACCUAUCAGGUGCUCCGAGGAGGAGAUUGCAAUGGCAUGCAAUGAGUUGCAAUGCCCCUUGGGAUCGUUUCUGAUCAAGUAUCUUGGGCUACCCCUAUCGCUCAAGAAGCAAACCGCAACGCAGCUGCAAUUUUUGGUGGACCACAUGGCAAAUCAGCUACCGAAAUGGAGGGCAGCUAUGAUGCCCAAGAGCGGGCGACUAACUCUUGUGCAGUCUGUCAUGUGUGCGAUGCCGAUUCAUGCGAUGAUGGCGUUGGACCUACCUGCAAAAACUAUAGCGGCAAUGAACAAGAUUUGCCGAGGUUUCUUAUGGUGCCGAAGAGCUGAGGCAAACGGUGGUAAUUGUGUUGUUGCAUGGGAUAUGGUAUGUACGCCGAAGUGGGCAGGUGGAUUGGGGUUGCCAAACCUAAGAUGGAUGAAUAUUGCCAUGCAAGCUCGCUGACCGUGGCUCACGAGGACCGAUGAGUCAAGACCCUGGAAGGAAUUCAAAAUCAAAGUCCCGGAAGAAGCACAAAUGCUAUGCCAAGCAACCAUGAGGAGCACUGUGCGGUCGGGACGAUCAACACGCUUCUGGGAAGACCGAUGGCUUCAUGGCCAAAGAAUACAGGAGUUGGUGCCGCGAGUCUAUGAUUUGGUGCACUCCCGAACUCGCAACCUGAGGAUGGUCAGUACGGCCAUGCAGGACGGCUCUUGGGCGAUGGACAUCAACCCCAACCUUGAACCGGAAACCUUGCAUCCGUUUCUAGCGCUAUGGCAACUGCUCAAUGGUUGGGAACUUUCUGCUGAGGAGCCGGAUGAGAUAGCAUGGUCGUGGGAGACAAAUGGGCAGUUCUCCGUGAAAUCGGCUUAUGCGGCAGCUUUUUGGGGCCGGGAGGUGACCCCAACAGCGGACCUGACAUGGAAAUCACGUGCUCCUAUGCAAUGCAGGUUUUUCACAUGGCUAGCCAUGAAGAACAGAUGCUGGCCCUCGGAUCGCCUAGCGCGCAGAGGCCUACCUCACCAAGCCGCAUGUCCUUUCUGUGAUCAAGAGGAGGAAACGAUCAACCAUGUUCUACUCACAUGUGUUUUUGCUCGCACAGUUUGGGCAGCGAUCUUCGUCGCGUUGGGGACGCCAAGUUGGAUUCCUACUGCCCAAGAAUCGCUGGUGGAGUGGGCCGUUGACAAGCGUGGUUCAAACAACGUCAGCACGAAGGACCUUCGCACCAUCUUCGCGCUUACUUGGUGGGAGUUGUGGAAGCAUAGGAUGCAGAUUGUGGUCUGCAUCGACGACAUCUGGAAGACGGAACAUGUGCUAGGUUCGUGGUUCGUGGAUGGCAGGUAUGGUUUCCUUCUGCGACGUCUUAGUCGCGGUGGGGUGCCAGAUCUGGAGUUCGAUGGCGUGUCCGGGGUGUUGUUCCGGUCUGAUUCGUUCAACGGUAAGGGCUUCACUUUUGGUGAGCCACCUUGGAGAUCCGAAAAGCUGCAUAUCAGCGAUGGAGCCGCGUCGAGCGCGGGUGAGGAUGUGAUCCAUCAUUCUUUUCUUCGGUGUGUGUUGUCGUGGUGCCAGAGGGAGGUGAAGGGCGUUGGUGUCAAGCUCAGAGAUAUUCUGCUAUCUUUUCAGUUUUGUCAUGUCGGUCCUUACGUGAUUUGUACUUUAAUCUUUAUGAUAUUAAUGAGACACGUAUUACCAUGCAAAAAAAAUAGGGCCGACCUGCUUAGACAGGAUGUUGAGUUGUGGAAUCAUACUUCUGGAUUUCUGAAACGCCUGCAAUUAAAUUUAUUUAUGCUCGAUUUACUGCUGGUGCAUGCCCAUUAUUUGUACCAUUUCCAUCAACUUAGAAGUUCAAUCUUUUUCGCACAAAAAAACGUAAAAUUUCAAUCUAAUAUGCAGAUAAAGACCUUGGUGUUUUUUUUUUCAGAAAAAAAGACCUUGGUAUUUAAAAUGUUUAUGCAAGACAAUGGUUCAACUUGCAAAGGGAUGUAGUUUAAAAAUUAAAAGUGUUUAUGCAUGCAUGCUGUAUGAUAUUACGAUGGACCAAGAUACAAUUUAAAUUUACGUUAAGAAGAACCAGAGACAGCCAGCCAUCCUCUUGGUUUUCUGCAGAUCUUCCAGCCGAGCUUAAUACUUGACCAAUUAUUACUUAGACACCAUGGCCACCAAGUGAGUCCGUCAGCAACCUUCUGAGCCUUGUCGCCGCCAUGGACGCAUCCAAG